rnacentral:lncRNA from 1 species
UUGUAUUUUAUGAGAACUAGAACUUCUUGAGAUCAAAAUGUUGAAAUUGUAUAUUUUUUUUCUUUCUUGAUGAAUCUAAUCCAUAUUCACUUUGGCAGCUUUUUUUUACCUCAAACACCAAACAGAGAGAAAACAGUAAGGAAUUUAAUGGAGGAUUCAUAUUAUUGCGAUUUCACAUCAAUGAAUAAAGAAGAGGCAAGCCUGCUUAUAGAUAAUGCAAAAGAGAUUGGUGAAACAUUUUUUGAAUAAAUUGAGAAUAAAAUAAAGAGAUAAUUAGCGAAAUUAAACUCAAUCUAGGUCUAAGAAAGAACUAAUGAAUGUUCAGAAGUAAAAAACAGAUUGAAUGGGGGGUUGAAGAAGGUAGAAGGGGGGUUGGGUGUCUCGAUUCGAAAUAGAGUCAUGAUGGCAUCUACUUUAUCCCACUAAUAGGUAAGGCAGAUCAUAUUCCGAAGCUAUAAGCAAGAAAAAGCUUACAAGCAAUAAAACAUGGAAUAAUAAUAAAAAUACAGAAUAUAAAUAAGAGAAAUAGCAAUAUCCCAUGACCUAUUAGUGUUAGUACAAGAGCCACUAACAAAAGAGUAUGAGUACUAUAAUAGUCAAAUGUACAUCGGUCUCAAAAUAGAAUGGGUAAGCAGCAAAAAUAGAGGAAGGAGAAAAGGUCAACUCCGGCUCCAAGAGCUCACGCUGUCUCCGAACUCUAGUUAGCACGAUCGCAGCGUCAACGAUGGCAACUAGUACUCAGAUCUUCAUCAAAAGGUACAAAAGUGAAGCAUGAGUAUUAAAGUCACGGGUACUCAGUAGGCAUCAUUAGUUGAUCGAGCUAAAUUAUAAUAUAAUAUAAUAAAAAUGCGAGAUAAUAAGCUAAUUAGUCAAGGUAAGAGUGCAAAAUAAUAAUGUAGAAGAGCACAUAACUAUCAAUAUAAAAUGGCCUUUAUAAGCUAGUGAGUGCGAAAAAUUAAAUAAACCCAAUGCGGGCCUUCGUAAGCUCGGAGAGUGAAAUCAAAGAGAAGAAGUAACCAAAAUUAUACUAAUUAAUCGUAUCUCAAAGCCAUAAUCAUGAUAAAUAACUUCUCAAUGUCGUACCUGAACUGAAACUCAGAAAAUUAAUCAAGUUUAGGUAUGUGGGGUUUAAACAAGGAUAUUCUUCCAUACUUGUGCCCAAAAGUUUAUUUUUUACUUGAAUUUUAAGUAAUUGAUAACUAGUUUCACACCAACUUUUCUUAUGCUUUGAGAUGAUGAUGUUUCCUCAUGAGUUGAACUUUAUUUAGCACAAGAUUUCAUGUUUACUUAUGUUUUAUCCACAAAAUUAUUCUUAUGCAUUGAUUUUUUGUAUUUUGACACGAAAUUUCUAUGAGAUGGUAAAUGAUUACUGUUUGAGCAUAAUGCACUCAGUUUACAAGAAGGUCAAGUUUACUAGUUCAAGUUAUAUAAUAUCACAUCAUGAUUAAAGCUUCAAUUUUGAGCAUAUGAUUUCAGAUAAGACAUGAAAUUCACAAAGUUUCUUUAUGAGUAUGAUUUUAGUAAGAGAAGCAUAGUUGGUUUUCAGUUUUGUAAACCUAUAUGCUACUUUAAAGUGAAUUUCAUAAGUAUGAGCAUAAGUGUAUAUAUUUUGGAAGUAGUAUUUAGCACCGAGGGGAAUGUGGGUUUAGUAUAUCCUAUUUCUCAAAAACUAUGUGCCACCGUGGUUUAAGGACUCUCACCAAAGAGUGUCUCUCUUGACCAAAUAGGCUAAGUUUAGUAAUCUUUCAAGUUAAUGUUCUAUAUUGAUAGCAAGGAUAGAACAGCUCUCCUCAACAUGGAUAAGAUGUUGGACUCUAUGCUAGGUCACAUGGUUUAUGUCGGUGAUAAGAAUCCCCUACAGAAAAGAAAAUUUUAGAAACUAAGUGUAAUGGCUCACAAGUUUCACUCAGAUGGUGUUUUAUGACUUAUUCUUAUGUUAAUUCAGUUUUCAAUUUCUUUCAUGAUCAUGGUUAGUCUAUUUACAAUAAGUAUACAUGUUUUAUGAUUAUGAUCGGUAUUAGUUUUACUAUUAUAUUCACCCCCAUAUACUCAAUACAUUCUAGAAGUACUAACUACAUAUAUAUUUGUGUAGCUACAUUAUUUAAUAAUAAAUGUUUUGGUAUUUCUCCUCAAAAGUACGAUUAGCCACGAUUACCAUCUCCUACAUCCCACUAGUUGGUGAGUCCUCACAUUCUGAGAUAUGAGGGCCAAGAGUAUGCUUGUUUUUAGAUAUUAAGCUACUAUCAGUUUAAACUUAUGUUUUGAGUUCUUUGGGUCAACCGGGUUUAUCCCUGUGUCUCUUCAGUUUUUGACUUUUUUCAGUUUCUAUUUGUGUUUAAGUUUAUUCUAUCAUGGUUCAAUUGUUGAGUAGAUAUCAUGGGUUAGCUUCGGGGCUACUUAUAGUCCUAAGAACCGUGUAACGUCCAAGGGGUAGCUUUAUGUCUUUACAAACUUGGUACCAAAAUCUAAGGUUUUAAGAGUCCUAGAAAGUCUGACAAACCGUGUUAUGCAGAGUCAUGAUCAUAGGUGUGAAGCGUGUCAUACUUAUGAGCAAGAGGCUAUAGAAUAUAUUAGGAACCAUCCCUUCUUUUGUGAACUCUAUCAUGCUUUAACGUUUUCCUAAUCUACUCCAACUCAUGCUUUAACGUGAUAGAGAAUGCCUCCUCACAGAGUUUACAUCCACAGAUUUAGGGACCAACCAGCCCCACCACCACUUGCAGAUCCUUUGAACGAGAGUGUCUCUUAUGUUGAGUUUUGAGUUGCCUUUCAAGUGAUAGCUCAGGCUGUGAAUGCUAAUGCUCAGGGUAAUCAGUCAACAGCAGCCUCAAUUCAGUAGAAUGGUAACUCAGCUACAGACCGAGUCGAGAUUUUAUGAGAAUGAAUCCACCUAAGUUCUUUGAGUAGAAGGUGAAUGUGGAUCCAUGCAUUUUCAUUGAUGAGGUGAAGAAAAUCACUUAGAUUAUGCAUAUCAUAAAAGAGGGGAGUGUGUAAUUGGCAUCCUAUCAGCUAAAGGAUGUCGCUGGUGAUUAAGUUACUCUAUGCAAGGAAGGUAGAGUGAGAAUGCAGCUCCAAUGACUUAGGGUGAAGAGGUUUAGAACAAUAUUCAGAGAUAUCUUGGGAAGUCUUUUCCUUGUUGCGGUUUAUAGAGAUGGUUACUUGGAUCCACAACAAGCGUUGGAACAAGUGUAGGAAGGAGAUACUUGUAGCUUCUUAUAAAGCUAUUCUCUAUCACAUUUGGUUGGCCAGGAACCAAAAAAUCUUUAUGAAUACAAAUGUUAAUAGUAAUUUGUAGUUCGACAGGUGAAAUGUGUAAUUAAGGAGAGAUUAGAGAAUAUAAAGGGAAUAAAGAGGAGUAGGAAAUGUACUGAAUUCAUACAUAUAUUAUGUAAUUAGUUGAUGAUUGAGGUCUACAAAUCUAAUAAUUGAACAGGUUAUCAGAUUUUUUAUACUCUUAAGUGUAUUUCGUUGAUUUGCUGGUAUGGUAAGAGUUCACCAUUUAUUGCCCAAAAAUAUUUUAAAAUUAUAAAUUUAUGAAUAGUUGAAGUUUAUUUACUACUCUUCACUCAUGAUUUUCUAAUUUUAAGCUAAUGAAUAUAUGUUUUUUCUCUUCUAAAAACCUAAUAUUUUCACAUUCAAAUAUUUUUUUAAAUUAUCAUCCUAAUAAUAAUAAUUUGCCUUCAAUAACCUACUAUUGUUUUUGUUGGGUCUCUUUUUCAAACAAAAGUUAGGUAUUUAGGACAUAAUACUAAAAAUGAUAAAAUAAUCUCAAUAAAUAGAAGCAUUGAAUUUGCUUCAAAUUUUCCUGAUAUUAUUAAUGAUAAAACUCAAUUGCGAAGAUAUUUGGGAAGUUUAAAUUAUGUUUCUCUUUUUAUAAAGGACCUUGCUAAAGAUACAUCUAUUUUAUAUGAUAGAUUGAAGAAGAAUUCAAAAGCUUAGAUUGAUGAUCAUACUCAAUCAGUCAAAAAUAUUAAUGCAAAGGUUAAUAGCCUACCAUAUCUUACUCUAGACAAUCCUAAUUGAAAAAAAAAAUAGUAGAGACAGAUGCUUCUGAUCUCGGGUAUGGUGUAAUUUUAUGAAAAUAUUCUCUAGUAGAUGAUCAAGAAUAUUUUAUAAAAUUUUAUUCGAAAAAAUGAAAUAAUAGUCAAAAAAAAUUAUGCAAUAAUUACAAAAAACAAAAUCUUGCAAUUGUAAAAUGUGUUAAAAUUUCAAGCAAAUUUGUAAUACCUAAAGUUUUUAAUAAGAACUCACUAUCAAAUAGUAAAAUUCAUAUAUAAUAAAGAUUGUAAACGUGAUGUUUCUAAACAAAAAAAUGUUCCUAAACUAAUGUUUGUAGCAUGGCAAGCUUUAUUUGCUCCAGUUAAUUUUAAAAUACAAUACUUAAAAGAAUCUGGUAAUAGUCUUCUUGAUUUUCUCACUAGAGAAUAUUUAAGGUAAUAAUUUUUCUCUUAUACAGGUUGAAGUCACAAUUUCUAACUUACUCUAGUAGAGGAAGGGAAGAGGAUGAACAAAAAUGGCCCGAGGUAAUAUCCCCGUCCAGAUAGAAAACCAAAAGUUAAUAUCUGCGAAUAUUGUCGGAAUUUCGGAUCUUAAUAAAGGUUACCAAAUGUACUAGGAAUUCAUGAAUUUUAUUAAAUCUAAAAAGGAAAAGAAUGGCAGUCAUUCAUAUUCUAGUGCUCUAACAUAUGAUACUAAUAAGAGGACUGAAGUAUAUGAACAAAAUGAGGAAGAUUAGGUUAUACUUAUCCUAGAUCAAAAUGAUUUGAAAUGGAGGGAUGACCCAUGGCAAUUAGUGCAGAGAUAUAUGGACACUACAUCAUACGUUACUGUAUAUAAACAUAGAAUGCAUUUUGAUAUAAUAUUCUCCCACACAGGAUUAGCUGAAAUACAAUAUUUUUAUCCUAACAAUACUAAUAAAGUUUCUAACUUCUAAAAAAUUAUUAUUAAAAAAGUUUUUACUCUGAAAGAAUGGAGUCUUAGUACUCUUAAAGAAAAAGAUUAUCUUAAUCCAAAACAAAAGGUUUCGGUUAAAUUUAACUAUUGAAAUUAUGUUGAAAGCUUUAAUAAAGUUCUUUUAUAUGAGAAUCACAAUAGAAAGCACUCAUGGUUAUAAAAAUUUGUGCUAAUAUUUUUAAUCAAAAUAUCUUUAAUUGAUUUGGAUAAUGGUGGAUUUAUUAUGGACCGUCUAUACAAAUUUUACCAAAAUCAUUCAAAAGUUUAUAUUGCUACAUCUUGUCUUGAUGAUGAUCAGCUGACAAUAAUGGACCAAGUCCCUGGAUCUUCAUGGAAAUAUAUAGUUAUCACAUGGCCUGCACAGUUUUGUUGUCUAGUGUAACAAAAUACGCAAGUGAGAUGUGUACUUUUCAUGGAUACUUGACCUAAUCAAAUUUCUACCCUAAUCAUUAUUCCACUAUAAAAGAAAAAUAAAGAUUCUUAAUUGAGUGGUUAUUUCAUUAUAAUUGUCCAAGCGAAAAUUGUCAAAUACUCAACUUUGCAACAGUGCUCAAGUUCUUGAUUUUCUUAUGUACUGAAAGAGUGUGUGAGUUCUUGAGUCGAUUCUUGUUUUGUAAUUAGAUUACUCAUGUUAUAAGAGUAAUGUUAUCGUGUGUUAUUGAGAGUGCUUAGGUAGAGUUACUUGAGUUCAAUAUUGGUUAGAGUUAAUCAGUAUUGAGAAGAGUUCUUGGCAGAGUUGUUAAGGUAGGCUUGUAAUAGAGUUAUUACAAGCAGGUGAAGCCUAGAGUUAGGUGUGUUGUUGAUAGAGUUGUCAAGUUAAGCUUGUAGUAAAGUUAUUAUAAGACGGUGGAGCUUAGAGUUAGGUUCAAAUAAAAUUUGUAAUAAAAAGGUUGAUUAUAGUGGAUUGUUGAGUAUUUGUGAGGGUAAUCCGUGGUUUUUCCUCCCUUGAGCAAAGAGGUUUCCACAUUAAAUUCUUGUGUUUUUAAAUUCCUGCAAAUCUUUAGCUUUCUUACAUCUUUUCUGUGUUAUUGUCAGAUACUAACUCUAAAGGGCUUGGUCCCUCAUUGUGGUAGAAGCCCUCACGUUUCAUCAUAUAUGAUGAAUAGGUAGAAUUAUCUUCAAAAUUAAUAAGAUUGGAGAAAGAUAAUAUUUAAUUUAAAUAUAUUUUUACUAUGUAUUUAUUUAUCAAAUUUUCUAUUUCCUAGAUAAUGAAAUGGUCCAUUAAGGUGAAAACCGCUCAUAAUAAUUUUUUAUGUCUCAAAAGAAUAUUUUAUAUAAAAUUUUAAAACAAUUAAAAUCAAAAGAUAAUUGAAGGUCAUAUCCAUGGACAAGUGAUAAUUGAUUCGAUUAAUGCAAUAAUUUCAAAUAGAAAGAAUAAAGAGAUAUGACAUUAAUACAAUAAAAGGACGCAAUUAGUCCUUUCAAGAGCGUUGCAAGAAGACUCCAAAUGAAAAAAAGAGUACUAUCGAGGUGAGAAAUGAUGGCUUCUUACAUGAAAAAAGUAAAAAAAAAUGAUUUAAUGAGAAAUCUUGACAUGAAAAACACAUCAGACAUUUUUAUAGCAUCUGUUGGUCAUACCAAGGAUAACGAAGAAGAUUUCUUAGUAGGAGAAUGUAAAAGUAUCUAGAGCAAUGACGAAAUUAAUAUUAAUGAAUACCUACAUAAAUUCAAAGAAUAAUUUAAAUAAUCUCUCACGUUAGCAAAAGAUAAAGGGAAAUAACUAAUAUAAAAUUAUGAGUGACCCCAUAUCCAAAAAAAUAAUGGGGGAUAAAUACAUCUUAACUUCUUAAAGUUAUUCUUUUAUAAAGAAAAUGUGACAAUGAAAUAGUAGAUAGUACACCAAAAUAGUAGACUUGCCGGUCACGUUUUGGUUACAUUUAUUUUUUAUUUUUUUAUUUUAUUUGAAAGAUCCACUAUAUAAGGAUCUAAUUUUGUGUAGUAGAGAGAGGUUUUUUAGAAUUUCCUCACUCUUUUACACCUUCAUUAUAAAAUAUUUAUCAAGCAAUAAAAGUUUAGUUGUUUAUUUAUUAGCAAAAUGGGCCAGUGAACCCUUAUACUUGUCCGAAUUUGUAAAGUGAACACUGCUACUUAGACUUUUGUCAUCUGAACCACUCAACUCAAUAAUUUAAACUAUUUUUAUGCAUAUGUGGCAUUAUAUUGCUGAGGUGGAAAACGCGUGUUUACACGCGUUUUUUGGGGCGAGUGAAAUUAAAAAGAUAUUUAAAAUAUUUAAGAAAAUUAAAAAAUAGUAAAAUUAAAAAUAAAACAAAAUCCUACUUUCUUCUUCUCCUCCGCCCUCAAGCGCACCCACACUACUAUUUUUUUCUUCAGUACCCACCCCCCACUGCACCCAAAAGAAAAAACAAUUAUCUUCCUUCACCAAUAAAUUUUCGUCCCCUUCGUUUGAGAUUUACUUUUUUAUUUUUUUACAAAUUAAUUUUUUGAUUCAAAUUUUUCCAUAUUUUUUUAGGACUAAAAUUAAACUUGAAUCGAAAGUAAAUGAUAGUGGAUAUUGAAAAUUAAUGAAGUCCAUGAAUAAGCUUGAAAAAGCUUGAAAUUCAAGUUUGAAGAACAAUAAAUGUGUUUUUAUGAUUUGCAAAGAUAUUCAGAAUUGAAAUUUAUUGUGUUUGUCUAUUUGAAUUUAUAUUUGAAAAUUUAAAUUAAUUUGAGAGGAAUUUCAAUUAUUUAGAAUGAAAUUAAAAAAUUUCUAUAAUUUGUUUAUUAAUUAAAUUUAUUUUAAUAUUUAAUUUUUAUGUGGCAUUUUAAAAAUAAUGUGAACAUUUAUGUGGCAUUUAAAAUGGCGUGGAAGCUUAUGUGCAGGCAAUUAUGUUGUACACAUUGAAAUAGAAUUUAAAAUUUUGAGUUUUAUUGAGUUAAGGGAUUUAGAUGACAAAAGUCUAAGUAGAGAUGUUCACUUUACAAACUCGGACAAGUACAAGGGUCUACUAGACCAUUUUACCUUAUUUAUUUACUCAAGGCUCUGGUUACAUUUUUUGAUUUUGAGGUACCUUAAAUUUCUGUUCUUUAUUUUAUUAACUUUAUUUUAAAUUAGCCUAAAUGAUAGGCUAAAUACUUUUGUAUUUAAAUAUAACACUAAAGUACUAAUAUAAUAUGGUACUAAAUACUUAAUAAGAAUCUUAUUAGCCAAUGAUACUAAGGUAGCAUAAAUAAUUUUGGUCCAACCCAUGUCGGAGGUCCUGUUAGAAGGCCUAGUGAAGCUAAAGGAGGAGUUUAGGGCUAUAUUUGAAUUUGUAUGGAUCAAUAUUAUUAACGUGUAAAGACUUCUUGUAUUAUCAUUGGAGCAAUUCGAUUCUAAUUGUGGUAUCAGAGUCAUGUGAUAUUUGUAGUGAUAGGUGUUAUAUGUUCAACAUGUUCUUCAUCAUGAAUAUCAUUAAGAAGCAUACUACUAAUAAUAACAAUAGAAAAGAAAAAUAUGAUAUGCCUCAACAUCUAGAUCUUCUUAAUAAAUAGACAAGUCAACCCAUGUUUAUAUACCAAAUGGCGACCUUUGAAAAAUUAGGUCUUAAACAGGUUGUUAAAGCAUCUGAAGAAACUAUUACUGUUGAUGAUGAUCAUGCUACUUUUAGAUUGUUAUCUGAAAAUAAUUUAUCCCUAUAUAGGGAACCCAUAGAUUUAUACAUAAUGGGUUGAUACAAGUUGUCUUUAAGUCACUUACUUUAAGAAGCUUACCUGAUAGUUUUUAGUAGCUCUAAGAGAUGAAAGAAAUUAAAAUUGAAAAAAGUCUCUUAUAGGGACUGUACAAUCAAGUUUAACUUAUGGUGUUGUACAUUUUACUGUUUAUUCUCAUUUACAGUUAUCUUUAAAUGAUGAUAAUUCUCUAAAUGCUUUAGUAUUAUGUAUUAAAUUAUGUGAUUGUAUUUACAUGUCAGGAACUGAAGUUAUAUGUAUAUAUUAAGAAUUUAUUAUAAAAUCCUAUGUGUAAAAAUACUUUAAAUCCUAUGUGUAAAAUUAUGAAUUUUAAAAAUAAAAUUAUUUUAAUAGAAACUAAUUUUGAUAAAUCAAAAGUUAUUAUCAGGAGACCUUUUAAAUGGGAUUAAAUUGAUUUUUUAAAGAAUGGGUUCUUGAGGAAGUUACACCUCCUUAAAAUACUAUGAAUGGUGAAAUUAAUGAGGUUGAAUUGACCAUAGACGGUACUAUUAAAAUCAAAUUUUUGAAAUUCAUGCCUCUAAUAAAUAGAGCUGAUAAUCUUAGUAUUGCAUCUAGAUUAAUUAGAUUAGGUUCUUAUAUUUCUUCGAUUGAUUAUAUAGUGAACUCCCCAUCUAGAACUUCUACUUCUCAUAUUAAGAAAAAUAACAGAGUUACUAAUAUUAAAUUGGAUAGAGACAAUAUAGCUAAUGUUAUUUUAGAUUUGGACCCAACUAAGUUCGAAAUAAAUUUUUCUAUAGAUUUAAAAUGAAUCAAAAUAAUAAUUGAUUUUAGUUCGAAAUAGCCAGCAAGAAAGAGAAUCUCAAAUAAGUACUUUAAAUUCAAGUGAAAACUUUUUAGAAAAUAAUUUAUUUAAAAUUUUAAUAAAAAAAUAUUUUUCAAGAAGAAUUUUUUAAAGAUCUUUUCAAAUAUAAUAAAAUAAUUUUUCUCGUUCCUUGAUUUAUGACAAGAUAUGUUGAUAGUUAUACUUUCAUGUUAGAAAGAGAUUAUAAACUAAGUAAUGGUGAAAUCACUAAGUCAGUAUUACCUUCUCAAUAAUCUUUACAACUUGAAUAAGAUGAUAAAAUAGUUUGUUUUACUAUAUGUGCAAAAUUACUUAAAAAUGAUACUGCUAUUGUUACAGCUCAAUAUCGUAAUACUAUGAUUAAACAAUACAAUUAUGCUAAUAUUUAUAUGAGUAUAUUGAGUGAACAAAUUAUUUUCAUUCAUGAUAGAUUUGAUGGACUAUUUUCUGAAAUCGAAAAAAUAAAGAUUAGUAAUACUAAAGAAAAAGAUCAAGUCUCAAUUGCUACUACAAGUAUUCAACUUUUCCCAAAAAUAAGAAAUUUUAAAUAAAAUAGGGUCUUCCUGAUUUAGAAAAAUUAUUAGAGAAAAAGUUUAAAAAAUUAAAAAUUAGCUCUUUAAGUACAAAUGAUAAUUUUGAAUUAUCAAAGAAUGAUAAUUAUGAAGUCUCAGACGAGAUUAACAAGAUAUUAGAAAAAUAUGCUAGAAAGUCAUUUCAAAGGAUGUACUACUAUCAUACACCCACUCCCCAACAUGUUUUAUUAGAGGAACAGGAAUUAAUAAUCUCCAAUGAAAUGUAGAUGGUUAUAAUGACAUGCAAACUUUCACAGUAGUACACCAAAUAUUGACGUACAGUAUAAUUUUUAAAGCUAAUGAAAAUCAUGAUAGAAUUAUUGCAAAGAUGAUUACUAUAGGAUUUAUAAGUGAAUUAAAAUAGUGAUGGGAUAAUUAUUUAACCAGAAUUAACGUUAUAAGAUAUUACAAGCUAUCAAGCAGGAAGAUAGUUAACCUGCUCAAAAUGUGGUAUAUACUUUAAUCCUUAAUAUUAAAAAACAUUUCUCAGGAAGAUGGUUUGACAAUAAUGAAAUCAUUAGAACUAUGCUCCAAAACUUGAGAUGUAAAACUCUCAUUCUUUUGAUGGUAUAAGGAUGUAUUUUUAUUUACAGUCAUGAAAUUAUCAGAAUGCAAUAAUUCUCAUUAGAAGUCUAAAUUCAUAGUGAAAUACCAGCCCACUUUGCGAAAAUAGUUAAGAAAGCUCUUAGAGGAUCAAUGAAAAGUAUAAAUUAUGAUGAUUGUACGUAUGAAAAGUUGAUUAAGGUAUGCACCCAAUAAAGGUUAUUCUUAUGUAAUAAGAUCUGGUUGAAUCAAAAGACAUCAUCUUAAUGAAAGAUAUUUAUUAACGAAUUUUGUGAAUAGUUUGCCAGUGACAUUCCUAAGAAUUCAAAAAAGUUUUAUAGCCACAAAAAGAAAAAGAAUUUUCGUGAUAGAAAAAAUAGGAGACUUGAAAGAGGUCAAGAAGAAAGAAGAAUUUUAAAGUAAGAAAAGAUUAUAUCAAAUUCAACAAGCCUAAUGUUUGUUACAAAUAUGGUAGUGUAGGUCAUUAUGUCAAAAAUUGUUAAAUUAAGAAUAAGAUCAAAAAACUUAACAUUGAUGAAGAGAUAAAACAAUCUUUGUGCAAAUUUUUAUCAAAUUCUUCUCCGAAUAAUUCAAGUUCAGAUCAAAAUAAUAAUGAAAAUUCCUCUACAGAUGAGGACUUAUGAAUUCUUCAUAAUGAUGAUUAUAUAUUCUCUGAAGAUGAUUGUAUACCUUGUCAGUUAGAGCAACCUUAUGAGAAUGAGGGUGAAGAUUAGUUUUAUAAUAUUUACUUUGAGGAUCUAAAUAUUAAUGUCCUUGAAAAAGAUAAAUUAGCAGAAUUUUUUGAGAUUAUCACAGAUCGUAGAAUAAGAUCUCAACUAAUAGAUAAGAUGAAAAAAUUCUCUACAAGUUUCACUAAAUAAUAAUAAAAAAUUCCUUCUCAAAAGGACCUUAUAUUAUAUCUAAAGUUAAGCGAAUUCUGAAAGAAAAGGAACGAGUAAUACUCCUACAAUAACUGGUGAUUUGAAGAUAGAGAUUGAUAAUCUCAAGAAGAAAAUUAUUGAUCUCAAAAGUAAUAAUAUUCUGCUAGAUAAGAGAAUUUCUAAUUUAGAAGAUCAAAGUCUUGCUACAUGUACUAUGGAUAAUAUACCUGAUACACAAGAAGAGAAAUUUCUCCAAACUCUUGAAAUUAUUAUCCGUAAAAAAUUUUACUCAAAAAAUACUUUUUUAAUCAACUAUUAUCUUAAAAGAGAGUUUACUGCUCUCGUUGAUAGUGUGGUAGACUGUACAUGUAUACAGAAUGGUUUAAUAGCUUCUAAGUACUUUUGUAAGAUCACUAAUAUUUUAUGAAAUGCUAGUGGCUAUAAAAUGAGCGUUGAAUACAAAAUACCCAAAGCAUAUAUUUGCUAAGAUAAAACAUGUAUGUCAGAAACCUUUGUUUUGAUAAAAGAUAUUACCGAUGAAAUUACUUUAGGUGUCUCAUUUUUUAUCCACUUAUAGCUUAUUAUCUGAUGGGAUGAAAUUGGUAUAACUGAAAUAUUUGAUAAUAAAGUAAUAAAAUUUGAUUUUGUUACACCAUCCUAUUCAAGAUUUUUAAACAAACUAAACGAAAAAUGUAUUUUAAAGAAUCGAUAAGUCGAUUUUCUAAAAAAUAAAAUAUAUAGUCUAACAAUUAAAGUGGCUUUACAAAAUUUCAAAUUGAGUGAAAAAACUCAACUUUUAUAAAUUCAUUAGAAAUUUGCGAAGAUCACUCAAAUAUGUUUUGACAAAGAAAGAAACAUGUCAUCAUUCUUAGAGAAUUUUAAAGAGAAUAAUAUUCCCAAUAAAGAUAGGUUAUGCCAAAUGAAUUCAGAAUAUUUAGAAUUAUGCAGAAAAUAAAUUAAUUCCUUAAUAAAUAAGAGCCUCAUAAGACCUUCUAAAUUGUCGUGGUCAUGUACUGUUUUUAUGUUAAUAAGCAGGCUGAGAAAAAACGAGGAAUUUCAAGACUAGUUAUUAAUUAUGAACCUCUAAAUAAAGUCUUAAAAUUGAUCAGAUAUUCAAUACCUAAUAAAAAGAAUUUAUUAAAUAGACUAUAUGACAUCAUCAAAUAUUUAAAAUUUGAUAUAAAAUCAGGAUAUUGACAAAUUCAAAUUGUUCAGGCAGACAAAUACAAAAUUUCUUUUAAUGUCUCAUGAGUCAAUUUGAGUGGAAUGUCAUGCCUUUUGGAUUAGAAAAUGCUCUAUCUGAAUUUUAAAAAAAUUAUGAACGACAUUUUCCUGUCUUAUAGCAAUUUCAUAAUAGUUUACAUUGAUGAUAUACAAGUAUAUUCAUAAAUAGUAGAAAUACAUUUUAAACAUCUUGAUCUAUUUAAAAAAGUUAUUAUACAAAAUGGGUUAGUAAUAUCUAAAUCCAAAAUGUCUCUUUCUUGGCCAAAAUAUUGUUAUUAUUAUUGUUGUUGUUGUUAUUAUUGUUAGGAGUACUACUACUAGCGCAACGUUCUUUUUCUAAAUUGAAAACGUACAACUACCACUAUGUGUCUUCUUCUAUUACUACUAUAAUUUUUAUUGUUUAUUGUUAUUACUAUCAAUAUUAUUAUUUUUUGUUUGAUAUUUAAAUAUAUUUUAUAACAUUAAGAGGGAUAAGUUUAUGAUAAUGUGUUUACUAUUUAGAUUAAUAAAAUAAAUGUUUUUGUUAAAUAUCAUCAUCAUGAAAUAGUUAGAGUUUAUUUAGGACUCUUCAACUAUGUUUUCUAGGUUUGAACUAAUAAAAAUCUUUUGUUUUUCUUCUAAAGCAUUAUUAUUUUUAUAUUCAAAUAAUUAAUACCCUUUAAUUCAAAAUUUUAAUUACAACACUAUUAAGCUUUGUCCUAAAACUGUCACAUGACUUCUCUAUAGUUUGUCACUUGACUUCUUUUGGUGUGUGUAUAUAUAUAAAUAUAUAUGGAGAGAAAGAGAGAAGAGAGAGAUUAUAAAACAAAAUGUAACUUCAGAUAUGCGGGUACUAAAGCUACAUGUUCUAUCAGCACCUAACAUAGCAAAUAUACAUGUUUCUUCAGAUACUUGAAUAUCUAAAGAUACAUGUUCUUUUUGUUUUUGUAAAGACCAUGUAUCUAAAGAUACAUAGAUACACGAUCUCAAUCAAUAUAUCUGUGAUACACGACAAACACUAUAAUUUUUUGAAAUCUAUAUUGCGCCAUGUAAUUAUAAUGUACUCCUAACAUAUGUUGCCUCUGGUCUGAAGCUCCGACAUUUGGAUUCUUAUCAGCAACAAUUUUAAGUCAAAUUAUAAUUGAGAUCAAUUCAUGCAAUUGAGCUUCUUUGUUUAACACUAAUUUUUAGUAAAAGUAAUUUUCCAAAUAGUUCCUUAAAGUAAGAAACUAUGUUUAUUAUUGAGAAAUAACAAAAUUUUAUUUGAAAUAAUAGAAGCUUAAAAAUUAAUUAAAUGGGGAGAGUAAAAAAUUAGGUUCAAUAGGUCAAACCUUUUUACUUUCCAUCCUUCCAAAAAUGAAAAAUACAUCCAAAUCCAUCCAAUUAUCUCAAAAAUCAUGCCAUCUAUCUCUGCAAACCACAAAUGUUAUACUGAAACUAUGAAAAGGGAUAUAAAAGGAAAAAUAUGCAGAAAUCACAAAUGACCAUGAGGAUCGUUUCAUUAAAGUUGAAUGAUACUUGAAUAGAAAAAAUAAUUUAAUCACGCAAAUAAAGCUAUUCAGUCCAAACUAAAUUGAUAUAAGGUAAUGCAAUGAUUUUACUGUAAAAAUGAAAAGAAAUUUUUUAAAAAAAUAAGACUGCAAAAAAGAAAUCGAAAGAUUUUGUCCAAAAAAUUCUUCGCCUUUUCAUCAAUUAUAACUUUGUACAAUGUCCCAUGUAUGUAUACAAGUAUGAAAAUGAAGCAAAACUUAAAAAGAAACCAAACCUAAACACUAAGGACUUCUAAAUAAGGUACAAAAUAAUAAAGUGAUGCACUCUUAAAUAAGAUAGGAUAAUAACCUAAAUAUCGAUACAUAAAAGAUUUACCUAGUAUUUGCAAAAGAAAACGAAUAAUAUGUACAAGGUUUUAUGAAUAUGGGACAAAAUUAAUAUGUUGGGGCCCAUUUUCUAAAUGUAUUUUUGAUUCUAGACAAAUUGAAACCAUGCACUGCAGUAGAAAAGUAUACUAAGCAAAUGUAACAGGUGAAUCAAUUUUUUCCAAAAAUAAAUAUAACAUUUAUCUCAACACCUCCUAAGUUGGAGGGUACAAACUGACACCCAACUUGUCCAAAAUACUGUGAUGAAGAGGCCCUGUGAGUGAUUUUAUCAAGAGAUCGGCUAAUUGAGAGGAAGUUAAAAUGAAUGAAAAUGAAAUAUGGCCAUCUAAAAACUUUUGUCGAACAAAAUGACAAUCGAGCUCAGCAUAUUUUGUUCUCUCAUGAAACACAUGAUCUUUAGCACUCUGUAUUGUUUCUUGACUAUCUGAAUGAAGAUUCAUAGGAAAUCACAUUAAAAAAAAAGAUCUUAAAAGAGAUGAAUUAACCAUGUGAGCUCGAAAAUAAUGCACCUCAUAGAACGAUACUCAGCCUUUGCGGAGCUAAGAGAAAUAGAAGUUUUCUUCUUCAACUUUCAAGAAAUAGGAGAAUCCCCAAGUGAUAUAUAAAAUUCACUAAUAGAUUUUCUUGAAUUUGGACAUGUAUCCAAAACCAAGUCACAAAAAACAAGAGGCUUAAAUGAAAAGGAUGCAUUAAGAAAGAGGUUCAAACUUGAGUUUUUUGAUAAGUAACAAAAAACUCGUAAUACAAUUGUGAAUUGAGGUAAAUGAGGAAUUUUGUAUUUUCAAAUGAUGAAUUCAGUAAUAUCAAUGAUCCCAAGUAUUACAAAUAUCACCGCAUCAUUAAUCACCCUACAACAAAAUACUUUGUCUUAAAGGAGAAGAUCAUAUAUGAAAGUAACAAGAAGUUGUACCUUAUUCAAGACAGGAGGAAAAAAUGAGGUUGUACCUUAUUUUUGACAGUAGAAAGAAUAAGAGGUUGUAUCUGAUUCUUGAUAGUAGGAUAAACCAGAGGUUGUACCUAGUUUGUGACAGUAGGAGGAACAAGAUGUUGAACCUAGUCCACAAUGAUGGAAGUAGGAGGAAAAGUAGGAUUGAUAAAAGAGGGAGAUGAGAUGCCUUUGUAGGUGUCAACAUUAUACCCAGAAUCUAUAGUUGGGAUUGAUGUAUGAACUGAGAAGUAUGAAGCAUUAGAUUUAGAAGAAGUAAAAGGAAAGACAUUUUCAUGAAACAUAUCUCUAAUAAGAAUGAUUUUCUUAGUACCAAGAAUCAAAAUUUUGUAACUUUCUUUUCAUGUGGAUAUCCCAAAAAGACACAUGUAGUAUCCAUUAGUCCCAAUUUAGAUCUUUGAGAGGAUAAAAUGGAGACCAAAGAUAGACAUCCAAAACAUUAGAGAUUAAAAUAGUUCGGCGUGAUUUUGAAAAGAAUUUCAAAAGAUGUUAUAUAAUUUAGAAUUUUUGAAGGAAAUCUAUUGAUUAGGUAAGUUGCAGCCAAAAGACAUUCACCCUAAUAUUUAAUAGGUAGAUAUGAUUGGUACAAAAGAGCCCUAGAUAUCUCUAGCAAAUGUCUAUAUUUUUUUUUCUACCACACUAUUUUAUUGUAAAGUAGAUACACAUGAAGUUUGAUGUUGAAUUCUUUUAUAAAGAAAAUAUUUUGACUGUGUUGUCCAACUUCCUAACUAAAGAGCAUUGUCUGAUCUUACUAUCUUGACCUUGGUUUGAAAUUAUCUUCUAACCAUAGUCAAGAAAGAUUUGAGCACUGCGAAGGAAUUUGAAUUAUAGAUUAAUAGGAAAGUCGAUGUUUCUCUACUAAAAUUAUUCACAAUGAUAAGAAAGAAUCUAUACCCAUCAUGUGUUGGUUCUUUAUAUGAUCUCCAAGUGUCAAUAUGUAUUAACUCAAAAUUAAAUUUCAUUGAGAUGUUAUUUGUUGAAAAAUAUAUUUUAUUUUGUUUUUCCAUAGGACAAAUCAUAAAAGGAGUGCCAAAUUUUGACAAAAAGAAAUGAAAUGAAAGGGAACAUUUUUCAUAUUACUCAAAGGAAUAUAGCCUAGUAUAUAAUGUCAUAAUUUAUCCUUUAUUUUGGAAUCAAACAAAAAAAAACAUGAAUGAGAAGCUGAAUUAGAAUUGAAAAUCUGAUCACUAAAAAAUGAAUCAAAACCCAAACUAGGACUUGAGAUGUUAUUGACUAGAGAAUUUAGAAGAAUAUUUUACUAGCUUGAUUUGAGUAUGUAGAGUCCUCUUUUUUCUCUAUUAAUUUCUAAUGGGCUCUUUAGAGAAGAGUCCCGAAAUAUGAAACAAGAAGUAGGAGUGAAUAAUGCAUCAUUGUUGAGUUGUCUACACAAUUUCUAUAUAGACAAGAGAUUGAACCUGAAAGAAAGCAUGUAUAAAAUAUUGUGUAAGACAAGAUUUGAUAAUGCACAGACUAUUCCUAAAUGAGUUGUCCUUGCUUUGUGUGACUUGGGAAGAUAUGCCAUGAGUUCUCCAGGCAAGGGCUUAAAAUUCUAAAGAAUUUUUUGUGAGUCAUAUGCAUCUUAUAUCUAAAAAUUAUUGUCAAUGUUUACUACGCGUGCAUAAAAAUUGAAAACUUAUCCUUACUUGCAAACCUCAUAUUGGUAGAAACUUGAGGAGUAUUUCCAUUUUGAUUUUUAAUAUUUAAUUGCUGAAUAAGCUCCAACAGUCGUCCCACAUUUUCUUGAGUUAAGGACCAAAUGUUUGGACUACUAUUACCUACUUGUUCCUUAGUAGUAUCGAAACUGUUGUUGACCAGAUAUUUUUCUUGAAAAUUUCUCUGUCUUGUAAACUUAAAAUUAGUAGAAAAUCCAUAAAUUCUAUAAUAUUUUUCCACUAUUGUCACGAUCCAAAUCAGGGUCUGGCCGUGACGGGUAUCUCAAGUCCACCGAAGACCGGAGACCACCCCCAUUGCCUAGUCAAAUCGAACACAAUACCCAACAGAGGAUGAAUUCCAAACAUAUAACAAGAUAUGAUAUAAAAGCUUAAAGGAAUCUAAGAUAACUAAAUAUCCAACAACCAAUAAUGAAAACCACUCAAGUCCACAGUAAUAUCCACAAAGCCUCUAAACAAUACCAAAAGCUAAUCUAAGUCGGGACAUGCCCCCGACUUUGAUAAUAACAAUGACAAUGAUAAUAUUAAUGAAUAUGUAAAGUCUUUCAUUCUACUCUAUGAAAGGAAACUAAUUAUGAUCAAGUCUUCCAGAGAAUGAAAGCUCACUAUUUCACCAAAACGAUCGACAAACCGAGUCGAUCCAUCUAACACUGCAUAGAAAAAGUAGAAGUAUCUUCGGUGCCUGCAUCGCAUGGGGAUGCAGCAUUCGAAGAUGGUUAAUGGGUUGAGAACUAGCAUGUAACUCAGGGUAAGGGGAAAAAUAAUUCCAAAUAAAAUCCAAUUCAUAUCCAUGUGAACAUCAUCAUGUACAUACGUAAAUAAUAUGUCGGAAUAGGAAACAAGACUUAACAACAAGACUUAACAUGUACUUUAAAACCAUUAAUCUAAAUUGUGUAGCAUAGCCGUCAUAACAAGGCACACACGGGCUAUAUGUUUCCAGCUCUCUCCUAGCUGAAAAGACCCAAGUGCGUGUGGCUGCAUGAACCGGAGAAUAAUUACGUCAACAUAUGCACUAUGGGGGAUUCGAACCUCCUGACACAUACCAAGAGUAGCUCGAUCACUCUGUCAAUAACAUGGGGGACUCGAACCUCCUAAUUAUAUAAUAAUUGAGACUCGAACCUUCUGAUCAUUUAUACCCCCGCGUCAGCAACUAUGGUUUUCAGUAUUGGUCGCUCGAGACCUCCACUUUCACGGAACAACUAUACAACCCCCAUUAAAACCAAAUUAAAGCACCUCUCACACAUUUCCAUUCAUUGACCAAAGAAUUUAUCAAUAAGGCACACUAUGGGUAUCGUCAUACCCUUACAAGUUUAUCUCUACGCCAUAACAAUCACAUUACCUUGAGAGAAUACCUCAACCCUCCUUUGUUCAUUAAAUUAAAUCAUAGCCAACAAGGCUUUCAAAACCAUGUUCAUUGUCUAAUAUUUUAUACAAUGAAAUGACAUAGGUGGGUAAGUCAAACCAAGUGACAAUUUCACCAUUUAAAGCAAUUUACACAAGUGGUAGAGGAAACCCAAUUAUUCAAAACCAAUUCCAAUUUCAAAACUCCAAAUUGGGGAAAACCAUGGCCCCAUAGUUUAUUCACCCCUCCCAUGCACUCCACAAGUUCAAAAUCAUUAAUAAAGCAUAAACAAUGCACAAUAAAUCAUGGAAAAAUAAUUUAAGAAUCGAUCAUGUCAAAACCUCUACCAUAACAAAACCCACAUUCAAAUCCAUACAAUUUAAACCAUGUAAAACACAUGAUUUUCAUAAAUUGAGAAUUAGGAAAGAGUAACAUGCCUGAAAAAUCAAGUAUUACGGAGAAAAUUCGACCUUUAAAGCUCUAGAUGGUCAAUCUUUAGAAACCCUAGGUACUUUUUCCUUAAGAGAAUUUGAGAGAGAAAAGAAUGUGCUUUGAUUUUCUAAAGGGUGAAAAUAAUACCCCAAAGGUGUUUUAUGGUCAUGAGUCAUAGGUGGGAAAAAAAGGAAAUGUCCAAAAUGCCCUAAAUUAAAAGCUAAAAAAUUAUCGCUAGUGAUUACGGUUACUCUGCAACUCAUAAGGUCACAUAACGGCUCGUCACCACAAGACAUAGUCAAGACAAUUUCUAGGGUGCACACACACUACUGACCCUACGUCUCACCUCAUACAACUCAUCAAUUGACCCUACGACUCGUAUGGUCUCAGUCGUACAGAACCAUUUGGGUAACUCACUGGUCACCCUAUGAUUGUACAUAUCGACUCGUAUAGAGUCACUAUAACUUGUAGAGUCUAGUCGUUGUCAGGGAAGAAAGUUUGACAUAUACAUUGGUUGUCCUACAAUUUGAGUCUAUACGACUUGUAUGAAAACUUUACGACAUGUGAAGAGAGCCGUUAUCUGGGUAGUGAGCUUAAGGCUCAAAGAUUUCUCAAGAAAAUAACAAUUUUCUUUAACAAAGUUAGAAAACAAAGAUGUUAAGAUUAACAUAUACCUUAAGCACGAUUAUAUGAAACGGGGAACAAGAUUGGGUAUUUUGACUUCAUGUCCUCUUCAGCUUCCCGAGUAUCUUCCUUGCCUUUUUGGCUCCACCAAAGAACCUUCACUAAAGCCACGUCCUUAGUCCACAAAUGACGAACUUGUCUAUCCAAGAUCUCAACUGGGACUUCCUCAUACGAUAAGGAUUUCAAAACACCAAUCUCUCCAAUAGAAAAACCUUGGAAGCAUCACCCACUCACUUCUUCAACAUCGACACAUGGAAGACCGGAUGGAUAGAUCCUAAACUCAAAGGCAAUUCCUACUCAUAAGCCACAUUUCCCACUUGCCUCAAAAUACAGUACGAACCAAUAUAACGAGGGUUGAGCUUCCCCUUCCUUAUAAACCGCAUCACUCCCUUCAUGGGAGACACCUUGAAGAACACCAAAUCAUCCACCACAAACUUCAACUCCCUUCGCCUCAUGCCUGCAUAGGACUUUUGGCGACUUUGGGUGGUUCCAAGUCUAUCCCGAAUCACCUUCACCUUCUCCAUAGCUUGAUGAACCAAGUCGGGACUAUACAAUCUAUUCUCACUAACCUCAAACCACUCAAUAUGGGACCUACACUUCCUACCAUAAAGAGCCUCGAAAGGAGCCAUCCCAAUAAUAGAAAGGUAGCUAUUAUUAUACGUAAACUCUAUGAGGGGAAAAUGAUCGACCCAACUACCCCAAAAGUAAAGCUCACAAAACCAUAGCAUAUCCUUCAACAUCUGAAUGAUCCGCUCUGCUUAUCCAUCCACUUGGGGGUGGAAGGCAAUGCUAAGGCUCACCUUAGAUCCCAAACCUCUCUAAAAUGAAUAUAAAAAUGAGAUGAGAACAACAUACCUUGAUAAAAAAUGAUGGAAAUCGGAGCACCGUGCAACCUGACUAUCUCUUCAAUGAACAACUUGGCAUAGUCCCCAAAAGAGAAAUUUGUCCUUACUAGUAAGAAGUGACUAGUCAUCCUAUCUACGAUGAUCAAAUCGAAUCAAAUUGUCCACGAGUUCACAAAAGACCCAUAACAAAAUCUAAAUUAUCACUUCUCACUUCUACACAGGCAACUCAAUUUCUUAAAACAACCCACCAGGCCUCAAGUGCUCCAGUUUCACUUGUUGACAAACUAUGCACUUGGCCACAAAAUUAGCCAUAUUCCGCUUCAUAUUAUUUCACCAAUAAAUCUCCUUCAAGUCAUGGUACAUCUUCGUCAAACCAAAAUAAAAAAUAUACCUUGACUUAUGAGUUUUAGCCAAGAUUCUUUAUCACAUCCCGUCAACAUCGAAAACACAUAAUCUCCCUUUGUACCUCAAGAUACCAUCACCACCAAUCUUAAAAGCCAUCACCUUUUAGUGAUCCACAUCAUCCUUAAUCUGCAUCAAGAUAAGGCCCAAGACUUAUUUCUCCUUCAACUCAGUGUUUAGAGAUAAAUUCACCACCUUUUGCACCAUCACACCACCAUUCUCAUAGUCUUGGAGAUAUACUCUAAUGAUUAUCCAGCCGGUGCUUAUCUUUCACCAAUUCUUGAUUCUCCCUAUCCACGUGAGAUAGGAUUUCCAUAGAUAAAUUACUAAGAGCAUCAACGACCAUGUUAGCUUUACCUGGAUGAUAAUGAAGACUCAUGUCAUAAUUCUUGAGCAACUAAAGCCACCUUCUUUGCCUAAUAUUAAACUCCUUCUGGAUGCAUAUAUAUUGUAAACUCCUAUGGUCUAAUAAGAUGUCAACAUAAACCCCAUACAAGUAAUGAUGCCAAAUCUUUAAAGCAAAGACCACAACCAAUAACUACAAAUCAUGUGUUGGUUAGUUCUUUUCAUAAACCUUCUACUGCAUAGAAACAUAUGUGUAAUGCCCUAAAUCUGGUACUGAAAUAAACUGAAAACUAAAAUGGUAAUGUGAUCAUCAUGUCCUCGAAGGAUGAGGACUCACUGCUAAAUAUGAUCGCUAAAUUGGGAUGCUACUGGUUCUCUGAAGCUCGUGCUUUUAAACCUACGGUAUAAGAUACCAUAGCGUAAAUGCGUUACUACUUUAAAUGUACUGGUAUGCAAGUGAGGUAGGUUGAAUGAAAUAGGUUCAUAAGCAUGAACAAUACUAACUAACUGACUAACAUAAACGUGAGAAUACAUGCAUGCAUACGUAGCUAUAACUGAGAUCAUGAUAGGACUGAAUACUUAGUUCUGACUACUGAGUCUACUGACAUUGAGAUCUGAGUCACUGAUGAGUGAGAAACUGAAACUGUAUUACUGAAUACUGAGGGACUGAUACUAUGUUACUGAUACAUGGAUAACUAUGUCUGACAGUUCUGAUUAUGAAGAAUGGUUUGGUUGAUUGUAUAUGACAGUCCUGAAGCUGAAUACUGAUAACAUAAGUUCUAAUAACUGAUAUAACAGCUAACAUAAGUGAUUGUAUCUGACAGAACUAAAUCUAAUGGAACUAGCUGAGUUCUAUCUUGUAUGUGAGUAAUUGAAUCUGAGAUCAGUCCUAUUUAGCGGUUGAUCUCUACAUCUGGUGAUACUGAUACUGAUUGACCAUAGUUAAGAUCAGUCCUAUCUAGUGGGUAAUCUUGGAGUCUAUUAUAAUGAUAAGGAGUGACUGUAUCUGACAGUCCUAAAUCUAUACUACUUAGCUGAAUUAACUGUAUCUGACAGUCAUGAUUCUGUAACUAAAACUGUGAGAUGUAUUCACCUAAUCGACAUGCCCCAUACUAAGCUAACCGGGGUCCAACCUAUAACCCCAGCUGGAAGGGUGUCAGUACCAUGCCACUAGUAAAGACAACUGUUGUGGAGUCAGUCCUAAUCUAGCGGGUGACCCCUGAAUUCAGUCCUAUACAUUUAAAUACGCUAACGGGUGAUCCCUGAGUAUGCCAGUCCUAUAUAACGGGUGACAUCUCAUACCUAUGCUAGUUACGUAGUUCUGGAACUUAGGUAUUGCUUCUAGGGAUGUCAGUCUUAUCUAGCGGGUGAGUCCCCAUCCCUAGGCUCGCUCGGUGCUGAAUCCUACUCCCAUCUAAAAGACACUGAGCUGAUUAACUGAACUGAGUUGAUUAACUUAACUGAACUGAUACUAGUGGUAUUAUCUAGUAAAGCUAAACUAAAUUUACUGAGUUCUGUUGACUGACGAAAUGUACUGAGUUCUGAGGACUGACUGAGAAUACUGAAGUUACUGAGAUUAACUAAGAAUACUGAGGUUAUUGAGAUUACUGAGUUACUAAAAUUACUGAGAUUUCUGAGAUUUCCUGAGUCACAUAACUGACUGAGUUCUAUGGAUCAUAGCUUGACUGAGGAGAUGGUGAAAACAUAACAUGGCUCUAGGCACACAGCUAAAUGUUCGGGUACAAGUACCCCCAGGACUUGAUGAGAACAAACUGACAUAUCAUGGCCUACUUAAACACAUAACCAACAAUAUAAUUCAUAAUUCAUAUAUUGAAGCACUUCAUCAAACAUGUGAUAUGCAUAGGCUUGUACAUACAUGGGGAUUUCAUGAUAUCAUACUAGUUGGGCAUUGUUCCUUCGUCUGGGCAUUUAAUCAUACACAUGGUAGGCAUAGCACAUGUAGACAACAUUAUACCACAAUUAAUUAUCAUGAUUCAUCUCUAAUUUCAUCAUCUUAGGGUUUAUUUAUAGGUUCAUAUGAAUAUACAUCUAUAUAAAUCAAUUUCAUAUAAAAUUGAUCACUUAACAUAGAUUUGAAUUCAAUUUAAUCAGUCUUAGCAUAAACGAAAUUCAUAAAGAAAUCCAUAAACUUAAACUUAGAAAAGAGAUUCUUGGGCUUCAUGGACGAAAGGAGUCCAUGAAUGAACACUACGCAUACCUUGGCUCGUAAAUACACAAAAAUUAACGGAGGAAAUUCUUGAACUUGAAUCUUUUAUGAAAAACCCUAAUGUGUUCUUAAGAGGAUUUUGAGAGAAUAGAGUAUAUUUUGGUGUAAUGGAGGCUCAAAUCCAUGUUUUUGAGCUUAUAUAGGGUAGGAAAAUUGACCCUUUUAACCCUAGGACACGUAUUUAAUUUUUGAGAAAAUUUCCUAAUUUUCAUCCUUGGCGCGACGCGCCACUAUCGUGCCAAGUCACUGGAAAGUGACAAAUGGGAAAUUGAACGGUGGCGCGACGCGGAGCUAUCGCGUUGCCACCUUGUCUGCAACCUACAAGUUUGGCGCAACGAGCCACUAUCGUGGAGCAACACUGGAAAUUGACUAUUGCUAUUUGAGCUAUCUCUGCGACGUGCUGAAGGCUCGGGUGAUACACUAUCUCACUAAAAAGGCUCUAGCUAUUCACCCGGGUGUCGGAUUUUGGCGAAUUUGGUAUAGAUGGAAAGCUUAUUCAAUUCCCCACAUGAUAAAAAGUGAAAAUAUUCAAAUACCACAUGUACAAAAGUGGCUUGAUCUUUCAAAUAAAGCUUCUAACAUUCUUGAAAAACUUUUCAAGCUAGAAAAAGUAUGGGGUAUUAUAAUAUCUCCCCCAUGAGAACAUUCAUCCUCGAAUGAGAUUGAGUGAGAGGGAAAGAAUACAAACUGAGGUACAUACUAAACAUGACUGGCUGGAACAUAAUUUCAUGACUGACAUGAUUGAUGGAUGAAUAUAACAUACUGAACAUACAUAUCUGAUGCAUGACUAAUAAGCUGAAUCCAGCAUAUCUGAUGCAUGACUGAUAAUUGAUUUAUGAGUACAUGACUGAAUAUUCUUAUGAACUAAAUUUCUCCCAGUGAGAAUGCAUGUCUGAUGUAUAAUUACAUGACUAAACUGAUAUAUGAAUGCAUGACUGAAUAUGCAAGGGUACUUAGUACCAAAUUUGUAAUAGGGAUCUGAACAUAUACUGAAUACCAAGUUUAUAAUGGUAAUUUGAAUAGGGAACCGAGUAAUUUUAAUGAAACUGUUAUGUGACUAAAAAGCAUUGAUGACCCCAUGGCUAUGCUAGAAGUAUGCAUGAACUAGAGCCUGAGAACAUGACUGAGGCUGAAAUAUGAUACAUAAACUGAAUUUUGUAAACUGAACUAAGCCUCUGAAUACUUGGCCCAUAGCUGAGGUUGGGACUUUGAGGGUCAACUUAUGAGUACCCUCUACUCUAAACUGGAUUCUUUAUGUGAAGAGAAACUAGAUUUAAGACAUGAGAGCAUGAGGAAUAAUGGGGUAUCUCCUCCUUGGGACACUAUGUUUCUCUAAGAACACUCACCUUACUGAGAUACUGGGGUGAUGCACAGGGUAUCAAUGAAUUGAUUCAUGAAUGAAUAACUCAUGCUGAAAAUCUUAAGCUAAAAAUGAGAGCAAUAGGUCUAACAAUGCAUAUCAUGAGUAUGAAGGACCUAUAACGUACCUGAAUCUAUGCUGGGGGAGUUUCCUUGAUCAUGGCGAGUUUGAAGAGCGUAAAACCUGUUCUGACGCUGACCACUAGUGGUACUAGAAGUGACGUCCUGCUGGCGCAAAUCUUUUCCCUUCUGAUCCCUUACUCUACAUUCCUGCAGCCUGUGGCUUAGCUUACCAUAUCCAUAACAUACCUCACUACCUGCUCUACAUACACCUAGGUGAUUCUUGCCACACUCUUCGCAAAGAGGAUAGGUAAGACUCCUGUUCUCACUACCCUAGGCCUCAGAUCCUAGCGACCCAUCACGACUAUUAUUCUCGAACUUGGGUACUGGUGCACUAGCUGAAGAUGGAGCUGGUACUGAAAGCUUAUGACUAUACUGAGAACGACUACCACCCCCUGACUUAGGCUGAACAAAACUGAAACUACCUGUUCUUGCCCUCUUAUUCUACUUUUCCUUCAUCUUAAUAUUUUGCCUUCUAUCUGCUGAGCAUGGGUCAUAAGUCUGGCUAAAGUCAUAUCACUAUUCAGCAUGGUGGAUCUACACUCAUUAACCAUGCUAUUAUUCACCUCUGACACAAACUUACUCAUCUUGGCCCUACUGUCUGCAACUACAUGAGGAGCAUAUUUGGCUAAUUAAGUAAACUUAAGAGAAUACUCUUUCACUGUCAUAUUGCCCUGUUUAAGGUUGAUGAACUCUAGCACCUUAGCUUCUUUAAGCUCUAGGGGAAUGAACCUCUCUAAGAAUGCAGUGACAAAUUCAUCCCAUUCGAUAGGCCUUGCCUCAUCUGCCUUUUAUGACUUCCACUGCUUGAACCAAAUAUGACCCAUAUCCUGUAACUAAUAUUCAGCUAGCUCAGCACUCUCAACAUUAGUCACCCCCAUGAUGUCAGUCACCUUUUGAAUCUGAUCUAUGAAUUUUUGAGGGUCCUCAUCUGACUUAGACCCAAGAAAGGAUGGACGAUUUAUUCGGGUGAAAUCUCGAAUCCUGGCUAUAGUUGAAUUGGCCACUGGGUUGGACAAAACGACAGCUGAUCAUUCAUUAUGAGUAGCAACUAACUGAGCAAGAGUAGUUAAUGCAUCCUUGAAUUCCGCAUGAGAAACAUGAUCGCCCAAAGGUUCUUCAGGCUGAGGGGCUGACUGAUUUCCAUUUCUUCUUUUAGGAGGCAUAUUCUGUAGAAAAAAGAGAGAAAUAAGUUAGACUGAGAGAUUGACUUGAGAUUAUACUCAUUGUUAUGACAUGACUACAGAAAGAAGGGAAACUGUUCCUAAAAUAUCUUAUAGCCUCUUGCACAUAAGUGUGGUGCACAACACACGAAUGUACAAGACUUUACUAGAUGUGACUUUUCAGACUUCCUAGGAUACUAUUGAACCUUAGGCUCUGAUACCAAGUUUGUAACGCCCCAAAUCUGGUACCCGGGAUGUUACACGGUGCUCAUGACCCCAAAGGACCACAAGUUAACCCAUGACUGAUAUCUGUAAUUGAGCACCAAAAACUGAAUGGCCAUAAGUUUCAAAACUGAAUGAACAUUUGAUAAACAAUGUCUAAAAAUGGUAUAACAAUACCAAACAAAUCUGAAAUAAUUGUUUAACAUGCUAUAGUCUGAAAGCCUCUAUACUGUCUGAAUAAGGAGUUGAUGGGACAUGUCCCUAACUAACUCCGGCUACUGAAAUAAACUAAAAUCUGAAAUAGUAACAUGAUCAUCAUGUCCUCGAAGGAUGAGGACUCACUUCUAACUCUGAUCGUUGAAUUGGGAUACUACUGGUUCUCUGAAGCUCGUGCUUCCAAACCUAUGGUAUAAGACAGCAUAGAGCAAAUAUGUUAGUACUUUGAAUGUACUGGUAUGCAAGUGAGGUAGGCUGAAUACAAUAGGUUCAUAUGCAUAAACAAUACUAACUGACUAACUAACAUGACCGUGAGAAUACAUGCACGUAUACAUAGCUGUAACUGAGAUCAUGAUAGGAUUGAAUACUUAGUUCUAACUACUGAGUCUUAUAACAUUGACAUUUGAGUCACUGAUGAUUGAGAAACUGAUACUGUAUUACUGAUUACUGAGGGACUGAUACUAUGUUACUAAUACAUGGAUAACUGUGUCUGACAAUUCUAAUUAUGAAGAACUGAUCUGGUUGACUGUAUCUGACAGUCCUGAAGCUGAAUACUGAUAACAUGAGUUCUGAUAACUGAUAUAACUGAUAACAUGAGUGACUGUAUCUAACAGUCCUAAAUCUGAUGGAACUAGCCGAGUUUCGUACUGUAUCUGAGUAACUAAAUCUGAGAUCAGAUCUAUCGAGUGGGUAAUCCUGGAGUCUAUUUAUAAUAAUAAGGAGUGAUUGUAUCUGACAGUCCUAAAUCUAUACUACUUAGCUGAAUUGACUGUAUCUCACAAUCCUGAUUUUGUAACUAAAACUGUGGGAUGUAUUCAUCUAAUCGACAUGCCCCAUACUAAGCUAACUGGGGUCCAACCUGUAACCCCAAUUGGAAGGGUGUCAGUACCAUGCCACUAGUAAAGACAACUGUUGUGGAGUCAGUCCUAAUCUAGCGGGUGACCCCUGGAUUCAGUCCUAUACAUUUAAAUACGCUAACGGGUGAUCCCUGAGUAUGCUAGUCCUAUAACGGGUGACAUCUCAUACCUACGCUAGUUAUGUAGUUCUAGAACUUAGGGAUUGCUUCUAGGGAUCUCAGUCCUAUCUAGCGGGUGAGUCCCCAUCCCUAGGCUCGCUCGGUGCUGAAUCCUACUCCCAUCUGAAAAACACUAAACUGAGCUGAUUAACUAAACUAAACUGAUACUAGUGGUGUUGUCUAGUGGAGCUAAACUAAAUUUAUUGAGUUCCAUUGACUGACGGAAUAUACUGAGUUCUGAGGACUGACUGAGAAUACUGAAGUUACUGAGAUUGACUGGGAAUACUAAGGUUACUAAGAUUAUUGAGCUACUGAAAUUACUGAGAUUUUUGAGAUUUCCUGAGUCACAUGAAUGACUGAGUUCUAUGGAUCAUAGCUUGAGUGAGAUGAUCAUGAAAACAUAACACGACUCUAGGUACACAGCUAAAUGUUCGGGUAUAAGUACCCCCAGGACUCGAUAAGAAGAAACUGACAUAGCAUGACUUACUUGAACGCAUGACCAACAACACAAUUCAUAAUUCAUAUAUUAAAGCACUUUAUCAAACAUGUGAUAUGCAUAAGCUUGUACAUACAUGGGGAUUUCAUGAUAUCAUACUAGUUGGGCAUUGUUCCUUCAUCUAGGCAUUUAAUUAUACACAUGGUAGGCAUAGAACAUGUAGACAACAUUAUACAAUAAUUAAUCAUCAUGAUUCAUCUCUAAUUUUACCAUCUAGGAUUUAUUCAUAGGUUCAAAUGAAUAUACAUCUAUACAAAUCAAUUCCACGUAAAAUUGAUCACCCAACAUGGAUUUGAAUUCAAAUGAUCAUUCUCAACAUAAACAAAACAAACCCAACAUGAAAUUCAUAAAGAAAUCCAUAAACUUAAAUUUAGAAAAGAGAUUCUUGGGCUUCACGGACGAAAGGAGUACAUGAAUGAACACUACGCAUACCUUGGUUCGUAAAUACACAAAGAUUGACAGAGGAAAUUCUUGAACUUGAAUCUUCUAUGAAAAACCCUAAUGUGUUCUUGAGAGGAUUUUGAGAGAGUAGAGUAUAUUUUGGUGUAAUGGAGGCUCAAAUCCGUGUUUUUGAGCUUAUAUAGGGUAGGAAAAUUGACCCUUUUAACCCUAGGACACGUAUUUAAUUUCUGAGAAAAUUUUGCAAUUUUCAUCCUUGGUGCGAUGCACCACUAUCGCGCCAAGUCACUGGAAAGUGACAAAUGGGAAAUUGCAUGGUGGCACGAUGCGGAGCUAUCGCGCUGCCACCUUGUCUGCGACCUGGAAGUUUGGCGCAACGCGCCACUAUCAUGGAGCAACACUGAAAAUUGACUAUUGCCAUUUUAGCUUUCUCUGUGAUGCGCUGAAGUCUCAAGUGAUACACUGUCUCACUAAAAUGCUCUAACUCUUCACCCUGAUGUCGGAUUUGGGUGAAUUUGGUAUCGAUGGAAAUCUUAUUCGAUUCCCCACAUUUUAAAAAUUGAAAAUCUUGAAAAUACCACGUGUACAAAAGUGGAUUCAUCUUUCGAAUAAAGCUUCUAACAUUCUUGAGCAACUUUUCAAGCUAGGGAAAGUACGGCGUAUUACAAUAUGGAACCACCUUGCCAUACUGCAUCAAAACACAACCCAUUCUCACCAGGGACACAUCACAAUAAACAACAAAACCAUUGGUACCCUCAGGCACCUUCAAAAUCGAAGUCGAAGUUAACUUAUCUUUCAACUUCUCAAAACUACCCUCGCAAGAAUCCGAUCAUACAUACUUCACUUUAUUUGAAUCAGCUUAGUUAAUGGGGAAGUAAUGGAGGAGAUACUUUCUAUAAUAACCUGUUAAAUCCAAGAAGCUUCAAAUAUCAACUGGCGUCAUAGGUCUAGGACAUUUCUUAAUCACUGUAACUUUUUAUGGAUCCACCAUGAUCGCUUUACUUGAAACAACAUGACUAGAUAAGUCACAACAUUCAGCUAGAAUUCACACUUAGGGGUCGUUUGGUUGGAAAACAUUUUAUACUGAGAUUAGUUAUGCUGAGAUUAGUUAUAUUGUGAUUAGUUAUCCUGAUAUUAUUUUUUAGUGAUUGUUUGGUUUGUGGUACUAAAAAUGAUAUGCAUUGUAUAUUUUUUUAAGAAUAGAUAGUUUGUUUACAAAAAUAUCCUUCACCUUAUUUAGCUUAAUAUUUCAUGUUAUUACUUAUUUUUUCCUAAAUUCUAUAAAAUGUUGAUAAUCCCAAUUUAAAAAAAAAACUCAUUAUUAAAAUAUGUGAAAAAAAAUUACUCUCAUUUUAUAUUAUUUAGUAUUAUUAAUAUUCAGAAAGUUGAAUUGUAUUCUUUUAAGAAAAUUAAAUUUUCAAACAUGUUUAACUAUAUAUAAAAAAACAAUAUUUUAUUUUAUUUAAACAUUACUAAGUUAGAAAGGGAAUGUCAAGAUACUUUAAUUACUUGACCAUGAUAAUUUGUAGGAAAAAUAAAAAUUUGAAGUAAGAUUAAUAACUACAAAAUAGAAAGAGAAUAAACCCUUGAAUCAAUUUUGAAUUUGAUUGUAUAAAUAGUUUUAUGGUGUCACUAUCAUUUUUUCAUGACUCUUCACUUUUGUAGAAUUUAAUAGGCCCAUAUAAUUGUUCAAAUUUAUCAAAAUGAAUGAAAAUUUAUAGAGUAAUUAAAAUUUACAUUAGGGAUAAAAUUGACAAAUAAAUUUGAUGUGAGGACUAUCAAAAUCUUAUGUUCUCUCUUNNNNNNNNNNNNNNNNNNNNNNNNNNNNNNNNNNNNNNNNNNNNNNNNNNNNNNNNNNNNNNNNNUUAAUUAAUUAAUUAAUUAUAUUGACAAUUAAAGGAUUUGGAGGAUAAUUUUAUCAUUUUAUGACUUUAUCCCAAGAUAAAUCAUGGUGGGAUUAGUUAUACCACCCUUUGGGUGGGUUAUUUUAUCCUGGUACUAUUUAUUAAUCCCGAAAUAAGUUAUCCCGAAUUUGACAACCAAACAUAGCACCAAAAUUUUAUCAUGGGGCUAUUAUUUCAAGAUCAAGACUAUUUGAUUUAGUACCUUACACCAAACGACCCCUUAGAGAAUUUAGAAUGCAAUCGUUGUUCCUUAAGGGUCUGCAACACUAUAAGGAGAUGAUCGGCAUGAUACGCCCCACUCUUCGAAUAUACUAGAAUAUCUUCAAUAAACACAAUGACAAACAAGUUUAGAAACUGAUGGAAUACCAGGUUCAUAAGAUCCAUAAAUGUCGUCGGGACAUUAGUCAAACCAAAGGACAUCACCAAAAACUCAAAAUGUCUAUACCAGUUUCAGAAGGCAGUCUUAGGGAUAUCUACCCCCUAAUCUUUAACUGGUGGUAACCCAACCGAAGAUCAAUCUUAGAAAAAUACUUAACACCCUGAAACUGAUCAAAGAGAUCAUCAAUCCUAGGAAGCGGAUACUUAUUCUUCAUGAUCACCCUAUUCAAGUGAUGCAAAUCAAUACACAUCAAAAGAAACCCACCUUUGUUAUGUACGAAGGAAACCGGAGCACCCCAGGGAGAAACACUAGGGCGGAAAAAACCCUUAUCUAGAAGAUCUUUCAACUGCUCCUUAAGUUCCUUCAACUCGGUCGGAGCCAUUCUGUAAGAAGGGAUGGAGAUAUGACGAGUGUCUUGAAGAAGAUUAAUCCUAAAAUCAGUUUUAUUAUCAGGAGGAAUACCAGGAAGAUCAUCAGGAAAUACCUCAAAAAACUCACAGACCACAGGGACCGAUUGAAAUGAAGGACCUUCGGAUCUCGAAUCCUUAACAUGCACUAAAUGGUAGAAACACUACUUGGAAACUAAUUUUUGGGCUCUAACAUAAGAAAUGAACCUUCCCUUAGGCACUAGGGAACUACCUUCCCACUCAAUACCAGUUCAUAUAGGAAUUGAAAACUAACCCUUCAGGUCUGAUAAUUAAGAAAUACAUAGCAUGAGUGCAACCAAUCCAUCCCCAAAAUCACAUCAAAAUCUAACAUGUCCAACUCUAUCGGAUCCAAUAACGUCUUCCUACCAUAGAUAGAUACCACACAACCCCUAUAAGCACUUCUAUCCACAAUAGAGUCACCCACUGGGGUGGACAAAAAAAGGGAUUAGGAAUACACUUAAGACCACAACCAAAAUGAAUAGCCACAUAAGGGGUUAUAUAAGAUAGAGUAGACUUGAGAUCAAGUAGAUAAUACACAUCACGAGAGAAGAGUUUUAAUGUACCAGUAAAAUAUCAGGAGAUGCCUCAGAUUCCUAGCGGGUAGUAAGAUCAUAAAAAAGAUUUCGACUAGUGUUGGAACCAAAAGUGACACCCUUUGAUGCAAGGGAUAAAGAAUUAGCAACAGGAACCUUAUUUGCUCCAAAAACAACCCUAGAAGGACAAUCCCAUUGCAUGCGACCUAUCUAACCAUAACUAAAACACCAAUUUCUUCCCAAGUCAUAAACUUCAUGAUGAAUCUAACCACAAAUAUGACAAGGGGGAUAGAAUAGAGUUAAUUGGGCCCUACUGGCCUGAGAUUGGGCACCUUGUGCCUUAAACCCACUAUUAUUAUGAAAAUGAUGAUUACUAGAUGGCUUAGGGUAUGGGGCGCCCGUCGUAGAAUAGGAAUUAGAAUUGCCCUACUUCUUCUUAGACCAUUUCCCAGCAUCUUUACCACUCUUCUACUGACCUCCACCCUGGUUCAAAUAUCAAAACUUCUUAUUCUGUCUUUCACUCGUCUCUGCUUACUUCUUUUUUUUCACUUCCACUUGUUGCAUAUACACCAUAAGUUUAGAGAUGUCCAUAUCCUUGUUUAACAAGGUAGCCUUUCUUUCUAAAAUCAAAUCACAGGAUAAUUUGGAACCAAACUUCCUGAUUCUAUCCCUCAUGCUAGAUACUUACUCAAGAGCAUAACACGAUAGCUGAUGAAACUUCAAGGCAUACUCCUCUACUGUCAUCCUAUCUUGGUUCAUAUUCAUGAGUUCCUUAGCCUUCUCUCUCAACUCCUGAGGAAAGAAAUAAUUAAGAAAAACACUAGAGAAGCCAUCCCACAAAGCAGACUCAACAUCAUCACCUCUAGACUGGUCCAACUCCUUAUAUUACUAAUACGCCAUAUCUAACAACUGAUAAGUAAUGAAAUCCACACCCUCCACAUCAGUAGCAUACAUCACACAAAAAUCUUCUCUAUCUCAUCGAUGAAAUUUUAAGGAUCCUCCUCAACCCUCGAACUAGCGAAAGACAGAGGACUCAACCUCAUAAAUUGCCCAACUCAAAUCACCUUAGAAGAUAGAGCAAUAGAAGAAACAUGCUCGAUCUGAGAGGCCACCAACUAGGUAAGCAAAUGGAUCAACUGGAAAAACUUAACAUUACAUACAUCAACUUGAGGUGUCCGAAGAGGUCUAGGGGAAUCGAUAGAACUCUACGUGGGGCUGUACAAUCAGGAGAUGAUGAUUUGGACCUCAUCAAAACUCCAUUAGUAAUAUGAACUACGUCGACAUUAUCCUCAGAUGGGAUAGAAGAGUUUCCAUGAGCAUUAGAUCUUCUGGGAGACGUGAUCUGAAAAGUGAUCAUACGAGAAUUAGAGGUGAUUUCAGGAUCUUAGACUCUAUAGAUUGAAAUAGAACAACAAGAAAGAAAAGCAUUCCUGAAUGUCUUGUAGGUUUCUCGUUAUAAGUGUGAGGUGCUACACACCCAUAAAAGAGACUUUACUUGACACAUCUUUGUGGAUACUCCAUGACAUAAAACCUGGCUUUGAUACCAACUUUGUCACAACUCAAACCAGGGACUGGCCAUGAUGGGUGUCACAAGUCCACCGAGGAUCGGAGACCACCCCCGUUGCCUAGUCAAACCGAACACAAUGCCCAACAGAGGUUGAAGUCCAAACAUAUAACAAGAUAUGAUAUAAAAGCUUAAAAGAAUCUAAGAUAACUAAACAUCCACCAACCAAUAACCAAAACCACCCAAGUCCAUAGCAAUAUCCGCAAAACCUAUAAAUAAUACCAAAAGACAAUCUAAGUCAGGACAUGCCCCCAACUUUGACAAUGAUAAUGGCAAUGAUAAUGUUAAUAAAAAUGUAAAGUCUUUAAUUCUACUCUAUAAAAGAAAACUGAUGAAAUGACCAAGUCUUCCAAAGAAUAAAAGCUCACCACUUCACCACAACGACCGACGAACAGAGUCGAUCCACUUAACACUGUGCGAGAAAAAUAAAAGUAUCUUUGGUGCAUGUCGCAUCGGGAUACAACAUUAUUUUGAUGGUUAGUGAGUUAAGAACUAGAAUGUAACUCAGGGAUAGGGGACAAAAUAAUGCCAAGUCAAACCCAAUAUUAUGAUAUGAUAUCAAACCCAAUAAACCCAAAUUCAAGUGAACAUUAUCAUGUACAUACGUAAAUAAUACGUCGGAAUAGGAAACAGGACUUAACAUGUACUUUAAAAUCAUUAACCUAGACUGUGUAGCAUAACCAUCAUAACAAGGCACACACGGGCUAUAUGUUUCCAGCUCUCUCCUAGCUGAAAAGACCCAAGUGUGUGUGGCCGUACAAAUAAGAGAAUAAUCACAUCAACAUAUACACUAUGGGGAAUUCGAACCUUCUGAUACAUACCAAGAGUAGCUCAAGAACUCUGUCAAUAACAUGGGGGACUCGAACCUCCCAAUUAUAUAAUAGUUGGGACUCGAACCUUCCAAUCAUUUAUACCUCCAUGUCAGCAACUGUGAUUUCCAGUAUUGGUCGCUCGAGACCUCCACUUUCACGGCACAACUAUACAACCCCCCAUUAAAACCCAAUUAAAGCACCUCUCACACAUUUCCAUUCAUUGAAUUGUGCUCCAUUUGGGCCCAAUUAUACCACAAAUCAAAAUUUAAGAUCCUACAAUCAGAAAAACUCACUCUUUACAAACCCACAUCAUAUAAAUGAAAAUUUCAGAUUGUAAAGUCAUAAAAAAUCAAACUUCACCAAUCUCAAAUGAUAUAAAUGAAAAUUCAAUAUUCUACAUUCAUAAAAACUCAAACUAUUAUUUAUAAUUGUGAUCUCCGAAUCAGCUUUCACACACUUCGAUUAAUUCAUAAAAACUCAAACUUUUGUGUGCAGUCGUGAUUUUUGGGCCAACUUUCACGCACCUCAACUAAUUCAUAAAAACUCAAAACUUUACAAAAGCCAAAUCAUAUAAAUGAAAACUCAAAUACUACACAAGCUUUAGCGGAAAGGAUACAAGGUCGCUAGAGCAUACAAAACCAAAGUGUUCUUUAGUAAUUGAUCUUUUAUAAGGUCGCCCAUCCCAAAUCCUGUUAGGAUUUUUGCCCUGAUUUUCUUACCAAAAUUAAGUUUUAUUUUUUCUUGGAAAGAAAAUAAAAGUAACCAUAAUUACUUUUACUUUUCUUGAAAGGAAAAUAUAAAAUUUUUCAUAUUUGACUAACAUUGUUCUUGGAGGAAAGCUUUUGAAACUCUAUAAAUAGAAAACCCCUUCUCAUACAACAACACAAUAGCAUCCACAAUGUAGUCUUUUAAAAGUUUCUCUCUCAUUAGUUUUAUGUUUUUAAUAUUAUUUUUAAUAUUUGGUUUUAUAUGUAGGCCAAUUAGUCAAAUCAUAAAUAAUAUUAUAUUUUUAGUUUACUUUUCUGUCGUCUGAUUUAUCGUCUCAAAUAGUUUGCAACUAUUAGCUUUCGCAUAACGCCCUCUCGAUUUCGAACCCAACAAGUGGUAUCAGAGCCUAUGGUUCAAUGAUCAGAUGGUUCAAUUGAGGAUAGUUUAAGAUCAAAGUUGCAACAAAUUUGAUAAUAAUGAAGAUAUAUAUCCAAAAAAGCUACAUGUGGAGAAAAAAAUUUCAAAGAAAUUUUCAACGAUCCUGCUGCUAAUCCAUCUUUAAAAUCAUAUCAAUUUUUAACUCAUGUUUAUGGGCUCCAAUUUUCAACCCAUACUUGCUUUAACGCUUGGGCUCCUUUCAACUCAUGUAUUUACUUUUAACGCAUAAGCUCUACUCUUAACCUGUGCUCACUUUCAAUGCACAAGGCUCCACUUUCAACCAUGUUUACUUAUAAUACAGGGCUCCAAUAAUAUCAACCCGUGCUUUUAUUUUUAAUGCAUAAGACUCCAAUUUUAACCCAUAACAAUUUUUAAUCAUAGUAAGCAGCAGUGAUAUAUGAAGAUCGUGUGAAGAAGGAGGGUCAAAAAUAUUUUGCCAGAAAAUCAAGCCAAAAAGGAGAGAUUUGUUAGAGGUUUUGCCCUGAUUUUCUUACCAAAAUUAAGUUUUACUUUUUCUUGGAAAAAAAAAUAAAAGUAACCAUAAUUACUUUUACUUUUCUUGAAAGGAAAAUAUAAAUUUUUUCAUAUUUGGCUAACCUCUUUCUUGGAGGAAAGGUUUUGAAACUCUAUAAAUAGAAAACCCCUUCUCAUACAACAACACAAUAGCAUCCAUAAUGUAGUCUUUUAAGAGUUUCUCUCUCAUUAGUUUUAUGUUUUUUAAUAUUAUUUUUAAUAGUAGAUUUUAUAUGUAGGUCAAUUGAACAAAUCAUAAAUAAUAUUAUGUUUUUAGUUUACCUUUGUGUCGUCUGAUUUAUCAUCUCAAAUAGUUUGUAACUAUUAGCUUCCGCAUGACGCCCUCUCGAUUUCGAACCCAAUAAAUCCUUUACCCAGGAGUUAUGAUUGGUCAUUUUCCACUAUGUUUCCUUGGUGGAUUGAACCCCUAACCUCAUUGUUGGAGGGUCUUUUCAUAUCUUGUCUUUCCUUACCCUAUAUUACUUCCAACCCUAAAUGUUAUUAUUUGGCAAGUCUUAGUAGCUUCUCAUUUAACAACUCGUCGCCACGAGUAGUAGUCAAGACAGGUUUUUUGACGCACACACACUACUAACCCUAUGACUCACCUUAUACGACUCGUCAAGUGACCCUAUAACUCGUAGGGUCCAAGUCAUAUCCACGACAGAACCAUUUGGGUAACUCAUUGGUCACCCUACAAUUAGCAUAUAAUGACUCAUAAAGUCUAGUCGUUGUCAGGGAAGAAACUUUGACACAUACACUAGUUGGCCUGUGAUUUGAGUCUAUAAGACUCAUAUGAAGACUUUACGACUCGUAAGGAGAGUCGUUAUCUCAAGGCUUAGAGAUUUCUCUGGUACCAACACUUGGGGUGUUUCAACUAUGUGACCUGAUUUCUUACAGUAUGUACACAUUAGAUCAUCCAGAAUAUUGAACAUGAUGAAAAAAAGACAAAAAAUUGAGAUAUGAUAAUUGAAAUCAAGGAACAAAUAUGAGAACUUGAGACAAGAAGAUUGAAAUCAACCUUAGUUUGAUAUCAUAUAAAAAUGAUAGGAAAUAAAAAAAAGAUUGCAAAAAGAAAUUGAAAGAUUUUGCAAAUAAAUUUCUUCUCCUUUUUUCUUAAAUCAAAUUAUAACUUUGUGCAAUGUCCCAUACAAACACACAUAUAUAUUUACAUAUAUAUAUACAAGUAAGAAAACAAAGCAAAACUUAAAAGGAAACCACCAAAUCUAAAUACGUAAGGACUCCAAAAUAACAUACAAAAUAAUAAAGAGAUGCACUCGUAAAUAAGGUAGGAUACUAGUCUAAAUAUGGAUGCAUAAAAAAUUUACCUAACUUGUACAAAAGAAAGCAAAUAAUAUGAAUAAGGAUUUUUUGAAUAUGGGACGAAAUUAAUGUGUUGAGGCCCAUUUUCUGAAUGUAUCUCUGAUUGUAUACGAAUGGAGUCAUACACUGCAACAGACGAAUAUAACAAUCAAAUAAAACAGAUACCAACCGAGUCCAAUGAAUAAAUUCAACAUUAACUCAACUACCAGUAACCAAUCCAACUGGCUAUCUCCAUGAUCCCUUGUAUUUUGAGAAGAAAACAUAACAAAUAUUUUCCUCCUACACAUGAAUAGGGUUAACGAGUAAGGCUUCAAUCACUAGUUUCACAUUAUAUCUUGGAUUACCAUAUCCAUCUUGGUUAUUUUUGUAAAAAAACUCACUUAGACGUGUGAAAUUGAUGACACACAUAAGGAUUUCAGCUGAUAUAGAAGUAGGCUUGAUGACAAAUCCUUCCAUGCUUUUUCGGCCAUUUUAGAAAGUUGUUCAGUCACUUCUUCGAAUGACAAUUUGUGCUCUUUUAUAUAGCAUUCUAUUCCAGUGACAAGUUGUCCUUUUUCUUUCUCAACCUUCAAGGAAAUAAACAUUUAUAAAAAUGAUAGUGUUGUAAGUAAAUGUGCAAGUACACGUAAAAUUUUAUAUAACGCGUAUCUUGUAAGUAGCUAAGUCAUCAUAGAUACGAGUAAUUAAUGUAGCAGCCACAAGAAUAUUUGGUUUAUUCAUCAUCCAAUCAAACGAUGCCUUUGAAAUAGAUUUCAUCCCUAAUAAUGAUAUUGGUGCAAGUAAAUAAAAUGUUCUGGUGAUCAAUGCAUUAUUGACAUGUCGGCUCAACGAAUUUAGUAGCCUAAAGGAAAAUUUUAAUCUGAGGUUUCAAGUACAUUCAAUAAAAUUAGUUUUUGUGCAUUACACAUAUAUCUCAUGUGCUACACGUGCAUCUCGUAUGAUGUACAUGCAUCUUGUGCAAUUUACGUGCAUCUUAUGUGCAUUUUGGGCGCUAUACAUGCAUCCUGUUGUCAGUUGGUAAAAAUAUUUAGAAAAAAUAGGGCCUCCAAAAAAUUGGGGCCUCAAGUCAUUGAUUUAGUAGCUUUAUGGUUGAGUCAGCCCGGAUUAUUGAGGUACUCUUCAAAUGGUGGCAUAUUUCCUUUGAUGAACCACUUUACUUCAAUAUAAUAGCUCCUUACGAUUUCUUUCAUCUAUUCAAAAAAAAAAUAUUUAUAAAUUUUGUAUUUUCUACCAAUAGUUCUAAAAUCUUUAUAAAACAAAUCUAUAUUUAUAAUCUAUAAUCUAUAAUCUAUAUCUAUAAUUUAUAAUCUAUAUCUAUAAUCUAUAUCUAUAAUCUAUAUCUAUAUCUAUAUCUAUAAUCUAUAUCUAUAAUAUAUUAAAAGUGUGAAGGGCCUUAGAAAUAUUGUUUGAACUUUUUGCCCUUCAUUAAAAGUGUUUGCUUUAGACAAAAUCGUAUUUUCACUAUAUUUUCUACUAUUUAAGUGUUGAAAAUUAAUUAAAUAUAUUUAUGGUAAAACCUUUCCUUAUUAGAAGUCAUCAGAAUUAAUGAUUUUUCCUAAUAUUUAAGUGUUGAAAAUUAAUUAAAUAUAUUUAUGAUAAAACUUUUCGUUGUUAGAAGUCAUCAGAAAUCGUAAAACUUUUCCUUAUUAGAAGUCAUCAGAAUUAAUAAUUUUUCCUAAUAUUUAAGUGUCGAAAAAAUUCAAUGGUGUUGUGGGCAAGGGAUGCAUAAUUUCAAAGUUGAAUCGGACUCCUUAAUAAUUAUCCAAAUGAUUUAAGGUUCCUGCAACACUUACUGGAAACUUAUUCAUAUUAUUGAUGAAAUUAGAAACAAAGUCAGGGAAAGAGGGAUAGAGGAAUUGAGAUUUCUCAUUGUUAUAGAGAAAGUAAUACUGUUGCAGAUAUGCUUGCAAAGCAUGCCACUACGCUCUCUCAGAACACAAUAUAUCUUCAAGAAAAUCUCCUACCUAAGGAAGCAAGGGGAGCGUUGGAAAUGGACAAGCUGAAUCUACCAGCUUUCAGAACUAAAGUGGAGAAACACUCCUCUUGGAUUUUUCAACCACCUUGAAUUGAAAUAUAGUUAUGAUCAGAAAGUUCUGUUCAUUGCGCAAAGACAGGAUCAAAAAUUUAAUAGCUACUUUAUGUUAGCAAGAAGUUUUUCAGGCUAUGUAAGUCAUAGACUAGUUUAAAAAGUGAGAAAAAGUGAUGGGUUCUUGAUUCCAUUACUAUUUUACCAAUUAAGAAGCUUAUGCAUGUUUUUUGGUGCUUUCUCGGAGGUCAGGUCUUAUACCCCCUCCUCUGUACUCUACAAAAGUAUUGAAAAAAUAUGGUUCGGAUUAAAAAAAAAGUGUCGAAAAUUAAUUAAAUAUAUUUAUGGUAAAACUUUUCCUUAUUAGAAGUCAUGGAAUUAGUGACAACUAAAACUUUUUCCAUUAAUUUAAGAAUUUUAAAUCAACUAAAUUUAAUUUUAAGAAGAUUUGAAAAAUCUAGAAAUAAAUAUAAAAGUGUUAGAAUAAGAAAAACUUAAGAAGUGCCAAAUUUUAAAAGUUUUAAGUACGUAAUAAGAAUAUAAUCAAUGAUUUUGUAAAGAUUUGACUUUAAAAAAAAGGAUUUUAAAUAUAGAAAAAAAAAAAAAAGAUAAUCGUACCACAAAUAUAGUUCAAAUUGAUGUGUCUCACUUAGCCUCUUACAGUAAGAGAAAGAGGUACUGCAUGACAAAUGCAAAAGUGAUGAUCGAUCAAUCACUUGAAACUUUUGGUGCUAAAAUAUAUAUGUGCUUACAUUAAAAUAUAUGUUUAUAUUUACAUUAUUAUAUUAAAAUGUGAAGGAUCUUUGAAAAAUGAGUUGAACUUUUUACAUAUCCCUACAAAUCUCCGCAAUAGAUAAAAUUAUAUAAUUUUAAAUAAUCAAACAUUACACAUAUGAGACACGUGCGGUUAAACUAGUAUUUUCAAAAAAGAUGAAAUGGAUCUUACUCAAAAGUAUAUCAAAUAAGAAAAAUGAACAACAUAAAAUAUGAUAACAUAUUCAUUAGAGUUUUACAGCUUGUAUGGAUGGUGGUUUGCCAUGGUUGGUAUGGUGUGAUAUAUUAUAGUAUGGUACAAUACAGUAUUUGGAUAAACUGUAUAAUUUUUAUUGUUUGGUUUGAUGGUAUGAUAGUGUAUCGUAAUGGGUAAGUUUACUAAAAUACCCCUAAUAAUUAUUAUUUUAAAUUUAUCAAUAAUUGUUAAUAAAGUAAUUUUCUUUCUACAAAUUUACCACAAAUCAUACCUUGUAAAUAUAUUAAGUUGUUUAAUUCUUAAUAAUUCUAACAAAAUUAAAACUUUACAUUCAUGAAAUAAUCAUGUAAACUACGACAUAAAAGUGGCAAGUAAAAGAAAAAAAAAUAUAAAAAUAGAUAUGGGACAAGAAAAUCAAAGCUUCAAAUGCAAUUCUUGUACUUUGUACAAGUCCCCAAUGUAAAUUGUGCUCCAUUUGGGCCCAAUUAUACCACAAAUCAAAAUUUAAGAUCCUACAAUCAGAAAAACUCACUCUUUACAAACCCACAUCAUAUAAAUGAAAAUUUCAGAUUGUAAAGUCAUAAAAAAUCAAACUUCACCAAUCUCAAAUGAUAUAAAUGAAAAUUCAAUAUUCUACAUUCAUAAAAACUCAAACUAUUAUUUAUAACUGUGAUCUCCGAAUCAGCUUUCACACACUUCGAUUAAUUCAUAAAAACUCAAACUUUUGUGUGCAGUCGUGAUUUUUGGGCCAACUUUCACGCACCUCAACUAAUUCAUAAAAACUCAAAACUUUACAAAAGCCAAAUCAUAUAAAUGAAAACUCAAAUACUACACAAGCUUUAGCGGAAAGGAUACAAGGUCGCUAGAGCAUACAAAACCAAAGUGUUCUUUAGUAAUUGAUCUUUUAUAAGGUCGCCUGUCCCAAAUCCUGUUAGGGUUUUUGCCCUGAUUUUCUUACCAAAAUUAAGUUUUAUUUUUUCUUGGAAAGAAAAUAAAAGUAACCAUAAUUACUUUUACUUUUCUUGAAAGGAAAAUAUAAAAUUUUUCAUAUUUGACUAACAUCUUUCUUGGAGGAAAGCUUUUGAAACUCUAUAAAUAGAAAACCCCUUCUCAUACAACAACACAAUAGCAUUCAUAAUGUAGUCUUUUAAAAGUUUCUCUCUCAUUAGUUUUAUGUUUUUAAUAUUAUUUUUAAUAUUUGGUUUUAUAUGUAGGCCAAUUGGCCAAAUCAUAAAUAAUAUUAUAUUUUUAGUUUACUUUUGUGUCGUCUGAUUUAUCGUCUCAAAUAGUUUGCAACUAUUAGCUUCCGCAUAACACCCUCUCGAUUUCGAACCCAACAAAUGGUAUCAAAGCCUAUGGUUCAAUGAUCAGAUGGUUCGAUUGAGGAUAGUUUAGGAUCAAAGUUGCAACAAAUUUGAUAAUAAUGAAGAUAUAUAUCCAAAAAAGCUACAUGUGGAGAAAAAAAUUUCAAAGAAAUUUUCAACGAUCCUGCUGCUAAUCCAUCUUUAAAAUCAUAUCAAUUUUUAACUCAUGUUUAUGGGCUCCAAUUUUCAACCCAUACUUGCUUUAACACUUGGGCUCCUUUCAACUCAUGUAUUUACUUUUAACGUAUAAGCUCUACUCUUAACCUGUGCUCACUUUCAAUGCACAAGGCUCCACUUUCAACCAUGUUUACUUAUAAUACAGGGCUCCAAUAAUAUCAACCCGUGCUUUUAUUUUUAAUGCAUAAGACUCCAAUUUUAACCCAUAACAAUUUUUAAUCAUAGUAAGCAGCAGUGAUAUAUGAAGAUCGUGUGAAGAAGGAGGGUCAAAAAUAUUUUGCCAGAAAAUCAAGCCAAAAAGAAGAGAUUUGUUAGAGUUUUUGCCCUAAUUUUCUUACCAAAAUUAAGUUUUACUUUUUCUUGGAAAAAAAAUAAAAGUAACCAUAAUUACUUUUUACUUUUCUUGAAAGGAAAAUGUAAAUUUUUUCAUAUUUGGCUAACCUCUUUCUUGGAGGAAAGGUUUUGAAACUCUAUAAAUAGAAAACCCCUUCUCAUACAACAACACAAUAGCAUUCAUAAUGUAGUCUUUUAAGAGUUUCUCUCUCAUUAGUUUUAUGUUUUUUAAUAUUAUUUUUAAUAGUAGAUUUUAUAUGUAGGUCAAUUGGCCAAAUCAUAAAUAAUAUUAUGUUUUUAGUUUACCUUUGUGUCGUCUGAUUUAUCAUCUCAAAUAGUUUGUAACUAUUAGCUUCCGCAUGACACCCUCUCGAUUUCGAACCCGACAAAUCCUUUACCCAGGAGUUAUGAUUGGUCAUUUUCCACUAUGUUUCCUUGGUGGAUUGAACCCCUAACCUCAUUGUUGGAGGGUCUUUUCAUAUCUUGCCUUCCCUUACCCUAUAUUACUUCCAACCCUAAAUGUUAUUAUUUGGCAAGUCUUAGUAGCUUCUCAUUUACAUAGAGCAAUACUAUAGAAAAUUGAAAAAAAAUUAUACCAAAUACUUAAAUAAUACACCCUUAGGGUGUGUUUGGUGUGGAGGAAAAUAUUUUCUAGGAAUAUAAGUAGGUUUAAAUAUUAUCCUAAAAGCAUUAUAUAUAUAUAUAUCCGAAAUGGUUACUCAACUUAUGGUUCAUCUCUCAAAAAAUCACUCAAACUUUGAUUUUCUUUCUAAAAGUCAUUCAACAAUGAGAAUAGGUGAGACUCAAGAGUAGGGUAAUGGGUGUUGUGGUGGGUGGGGAGAGGGAUGUUUAGGUGGGAGGUAAGGUGGAGGUUAGGUGGUGUGGGUUUGGGUUGGGUAGGGGUUAGGGUAGGGGCAGGGAUAGGGUGGUGGUAGGAUGGGUGGUUGUGAGGGUGGGAGGUGACAAUGUCACUUGUUUUCUCUACUCUCAUUACAGAAAUCAUAUUUUCAAAAAGAAUAUCAUUUUUCAAAACAAUUAACCAAUCCAACAUGAGAAAACAGAAAAAUAUUUUUCACCAAAUGCUUUCCCUCUUAAUUGAACACACCCUUAAUUACAAGUUAUUUUUCGACUCAAGACGGGGAAGACUACCAUGCAUACAUAUAUCGAUAUUGAUUCUUUAUUUCUAUUUAGCUUGGUUUCUUCCUUGUAGACAUUUCCCUUUCUAUUUUUCUGGUAAUAUAAGAAACAUAUAGAUACUAAAAUUUUGUCAACAGGUAUGAUAUUUGUCUGCAUACAAAUCACAAUACAAAAUACACAAAUAAAAUUGAAUUGACAAAGAAAUUUACAAAUCUGGGAUCUAUGAGGAUGAAAGAAAAUGGAGUACGUGAUCGAUAAAAUUGGGGAUACACCCAUGAACAUGUAUAAAUAACAAAAAACUAAGCUCUGUUUGAAGAUAUUUUUAUUCAUUUAAAACUCAUGCCGCUUUGUAACUUAGAGAACUUGUAUAGGUAAUACAUAAUUAAUAUCUCAAAUAGUUGGAAUAUUGAAAGUUAGAAACUUGAGUCAUGAUCGAAUAAGAUUAUUAGUCAAUAUUUAUAAACAUGUGAUUUUGAAUUAUAAAUUCCAUUAAAAAUAUUGCAUACCUGAGAUAUUCAUUUUUAUUUUUAUAUAUACAAGAAAUGAAUUUUUAUUUUUUGUUUGUUUGGACAGAAUUCUAUGAGUAAAUUCGAGAAAAUGUAGGGGAAAAGUAGGAUUCUUAUUAGUUUUUACAUGAUUUGUUAACAUGAAGAUUGGGCCUUCUAUCAUAGUAGGCCCAAGAGAUACUCCGGAUUAAAGAGUGGCCCAUCUACGUGGCCCGUCCAAGUGCAAUAUACAUUUUAUUUUUACUUUUAGUGUAUUUUUUUCAGGAUGUAUAAAACAUAUUGUAAUACCCUACUUAAAAGGGCCUAAGAAUUAAAAAAAAAAACUAAAAAUUAUGUAUAUACACAAGGUAACUUUAUCUUAUUACAUAAAACUCCAUAUUGAAAAAGAAAUAACAAAAAUCCCAAAGUAAUUAUUUAAAUCCCUUAAAUUUACUCUUUCUUUCUCAUCCCCCUCGUACAUAUCAAAAUACUAUUUUUUGCUCCUAUUUUAGUGCAUGAUUUUUGCUCCAUAUUUGUGCUUCUUUAUUUACGCAUAAAAUCAAGCUAACAUGAUCUGAGGAAUUUAAAAUUGUUCAGUUAUCAAUCAUUAACUGAACAAAGUUCACCUCUUCCUACUUAUUUUCUGAAAAAAAAAACUCAGUUCAAGAAAAAUCAAAGAAUGAUUAGAAAAUAAUUGUCAAGAAUCUAUUGGCAAAAUAUAUUUACUUUGAAAUCAAUACCACGUUGUUGCUGCUUCUUUGUUUGAGUUUUAGUUUUCACCAUUGUUAAUGGCGUAUAAAUGUUAGCAGGGUUUUGAUUUUAACGGCGAGAUGUCACAACAAAAACGUUAAUGAUAUUAUACUUUUCGAAAUUUGCUUUAUUUUUUUUUUAAAAAAAUUAAUUAACCCGUAAAGUAUAAUUUUUUUUUUGCAAUGGAGCCUGCUCGCGUAUUGUUAUUCCCGCUGUUGGUUUCGUUCUUGGUUCUUUUGGUUAUGAAGAACCCAAUUUCGCAGAGAACCGUUCGAAACACUGAAAUAAUCCAGUAACAAUGAAGAAAUUGAGGAAAGUUGUCGGUUCAAGUUCAAACAAGAAAACUCCAAAAUCGUCAAGUAAGAAAAAGGUUGAUGAUUCUGGACGACCAUGUCUGCCAAAGGUUUAGUUAUUAUUAAAAUAUGUAUUAGCAGCUAUUCUAUGUAUAAGAUUUCAUAUACAUUUGUUAAGAUUAUAUAGUGAAUUGUAUAAGGUAUUCGUGUAUAUGUGAAACAGUAUUAGAUUAUAUUUAUUACUUGUAUAAGGUUUACACAUACACGUGAAACUGUUGUAUGAGGUUGUCUUUUAUUUGUUUUGGCAGUAUGAUUCUAUGUAUAAGAUUUCAUUAUACAUGUACUAAUACUAUAUUAUUAAUUGUAUAAGGUUUACACAUACAUGUGAAACUAUUGUAUUAGGCUGCAUUUUUUUUUUGUUUUGUCUUUCUGCUUUUAUGUAUAAGAUUUCAUUAUACAUUGGUUCAGAUUAUGUACUGAUUUGUAUAAGAAGGUUAUACUUUUCAAAACAAUAAUUGCGUAGCUUUUGUAGGAUUGAUGAAUAAUUUUCAACUCCCAAAUACCUUAAUGACACAACAAUAUAGGGAUAUUUAUAUUGAUUUUUUGGAGAAUUGCAGAAAGCAGAUGUUGACCUUUUUUUUUUUUCAAAAUGUAAUGUAACAAAGAAGAAAAUUAAUUGUGAUGUUUAAGAUAUUUUUUAAAUUUGAAUUUCAGUUACUAUAUUUAAUCAUACACCACACAAUGAUAAUUAAUUAAUGACGUUAAUUAAGGAAGAGAAAGAUAUUAUCUUCCUUCUUAUUUUUUGAAAAAAAAAAAACAACCUCAGUUCAAGAAAAAUCAAAGAACGAUUAGAAAAUAAUUGUCAAGAAUCUAUUGAUAAAAAUAUAUUUACUUUGAAAUCAAUACCAUGUUUUUGCUGCUUCUUUGAUUGAGCUUUAGUUUAUUCCAUUAUCAAUGGCGUAUGAAGGUUAGCAGGGUUUUAGGUUUAGCGGCGAGAUGUCAAAAAAAAAGUUAAUGAUAUUAUACUUUCCGAAAGAAUAAUUGUGUUACUUUUGUAGGAUUGAUAACUAAUUUUCGAUUCCCAAAUACCUGAAUGUAACAACAAUAUUGGGAUGUUUAUAUUGAUUUUUAGAGAAUUGAAGAACGCAGUAGAAGAAUUUUUUAGUUUUUUUGGCUGCUACAAAGAAGACUAUUUAACCUUGCCAUUAAAGAAAAUAUUUGAAUUUAAAUUUCAGUUAUUAUUUUUAAUCAUACACUACUUAAUAUUAGCUAAUUAAUGGCGUAAAUUAAGAAAUUGAAAAAUAAUAUUUGAUUUAUCUUACCUUAAAUAUAAGAUUAACAGUUUUAUCAUACAUUCGAAUUAUGUAUGAGGAACUACCGAAUGUAUGAGUAUAUUUACCUAAUCUGGGAGAGAGAAAGCAUUAAGGGAUUUUAUGUAAUUAGUUUAAUUAGAGUGGGGAUUUAUGUGAUUUAUACUUAAAAAAAUUAAAGAUAAAGAAAUAAGUUUUAAUCAAUGAUUGAAUAAAAGGAAUAAGUUGGCCCCAAGCCCCGAAGUAAAAGGAAUUAGGGGUAAGAGUUUAGCCUACCAUUGCAAACAGUAGUCAAAAAAAUAAAAGGACGAGUUGAAGGAGAAAGUUUCUGGACGCGGUGAAAUUUCGUUAGUUAUAACCGCUGCUAAAAAAAAAAACUGUUUUUGCAACCAAUGUGGUCCCAUUUAAUUUUUUUAACAAAAAUAAAAAUUAAAAAUCAAUCACAUGUGGUCGCUUUUAUAUUUUAAAAUUAUCAAAUAAUCAUUACAAUUUUUUUAUAAUAAUUAUUAUUUUUUUGAAAACUAAAAGCGACCACAAGUGACCUAUUUUAGAUUUAAAAAUUAUUCUUCUAGAAGCGACCACUUGUGGUCCCUUUUAAUUUUAAAAAAAACUAAAAUAUUAAAAAAAAAAAAAAUACGACCACUCUUAGUUGAUUUUUGAUAAAAAAAAAAUUAAAAAUUUUACAAAAAAAAUGACCACAAGUUUUUUUGAUUUUAAAAAACUAAAAAAGAAAAUUAUUUAAAAAAUCGACCACUUGUGAUUGCUUUUAUUUAAAAAAUAAAUUCAAAACUAUUUUUAAAAAGAGACCACCUAUGGUCGCUUUUAUUUUAAAAAUUAGAUUAAAAAUAUUUGUAAAAAGCGGCCACAAUGGUCGCUUUUGGAUUAUAAAAAUAAUUAAAAAUUAUUUAAAAACAGACCACUUGUGGUCGUUUUUUGUUUAAAAAAUUGAAAAAGAAAAUUGAGACCACUUGUGGAUGCUUUUCUUUAAAAAUUAAACUAAAAUAUUUAUAUAAAAGCGACCACAAAUGGUCGCUUUUCUAUUAAAAAAGUAGAAAAAGAAAAUAUUUUAAAAAAGAGACCACUUGUGAUCGCUUUUUAUUAAAACUAAUAAAAUCAAUUAAACUUAAAUUUUGUAAAAAAAUAAACUAAGAAAUAUAUUAAAUAAAAUAAAUAAAUUAAUAAAUAAAUUACGUUUAACAUAAUCUUUAUCUUUUACUUAUGUUUCAAUAUAUAAAAUAAAUAUAUUUUCCGUUGUAUAUACGUUAAAUUACGUUAAACAUAAUCUUUGUAUAGUGAAUAUGUCUAUAUCAUACCGUUGAGGUAAUAAUACUAUGCUAUUGAAGUUAUAAUAAUGUAACGUACAUAUAUAAUCAAUAAUUCAUCAGAAUAUAAUGAAUGUGUUGUAUUAUGAGGUAAUAUACUUGUGGAUGUGAUGUAUAUAGUACAUAUUCAAGAAUUGAUAUAUUUAUAUCAUGUCGUGAUCGAUGAAUGAUGUAGUAAAAAUCUAGCAAAAUCUAUCCAAACAUGUUGAAUACCUUAUUUGAAACGAUCGAAGUAAUAAUGUAUUGUACAUUGAAGUUAUAUUAAUGUAAGCUAAUCAAAUUAAUCGAUAACUCAUCAAAGUAUAUUAUGAGAUAAAUCGCAGUAUAUUACGAGACAAUAUACUUGUGUAUGUGAUGUAUAUAGUCCGUAUUUAUAACCUGAUAGUUGAUAGAGUGUGUGUGUUUGCAUAGGCAUAUAUAGUAUAUAUAUUAUGUAGUGAUGUACAUAGUACGUAGUUCAAAGCUUUUAUAUAUAUAUAUAUAUAUAUAUAUAUGUAUGUAUAUGUAUGUAUGUAUGUAUGUAUGUAUAUCUCUUGUUUAGUGAUGUAUGUAGUACAUAGUCAAAAUUAAAGAUAACCAAAUGUAUCCAGUUAUAUAUUGAAUAACCUGAUAUCAUGUGAUCGAUCUAUCAAGGUAAUGGUAUAUAGUUGAACGUAUAAUAACAUAAGAUAAACUAAUCGAUAAUUUAUCUGAGUAUAUGUGAAUUGUAUAAUUAUGGGGGUAGUAAAAUUUUGUAUGUGAUGUAUGUAGUACGUAUUUGGAAGCUAAGAGUCAAUCGAAUAUAUGUAUAUAUCCGUAUAUCUCGUGUAGUGACGUAUGCAGUAAUCAAAAGCUAGAUAACUGAAUCUAUAUAUCAAAAUAUAUUGAAUAAUACGUUGAUAUAAUAUUAUUGAGGAAAUAUAUAUGCUACUUGUGUCAAUGUAGACAAGGGUAUAUUGUUGAAGUUGUAAUAAUGUAAGCUAAUUAACCGAUAAUUUAUCUAAUUAACACGUUUUAUUACGAGGUAUAUAUAAUAUCGUAUUUAAAAGCUAAUUAACCAAAAAUUCAUCCUAAUUUACGGAAUGCAUUGAUAUUAUUAUACGAUUGAGGAAAUAUACUAGUGUUAAUGUAAUGAUAAAAUAACUAAUUAUCUGAUUUAUAUAUACAUUGCAUUAAGUUAUUUGGACGUUAUUAUAAAUAUUAUAUAAUUAGUUAUACAUUGCACUUAUAAUUAUUUUUUCUCAAUAAUUUUGUAAUACCCGAUCCUUCACACGACCCAACCCAUCAAAAUACCCCAUUUUCCUUUGUAAUUACCCUAACCUUAGCUCACAAUCAAAACGCUCACAUCACAACUACCCUCACCGACCCAACCUCUCUCCGAAAGCAACUCAUCGAUAAUGACAACAGCUCAGCUAUGGCGAUAGCAAUUCACCAGCGAUGACAACAGCUCAACGGCGAUGAUAGCAACUCACAGACAACAANNNNNNNNNNNNNNNNNUUCCGAUCAAAUUUCACGAUUGUGUUUUUUUGGCUUUCAAGGCCUUGCAACUGACUUCGAAUCUCUUGGUGUUCCAUGGGGUAAGUUUAUUUUUCAUAAAAAUUAUAAAAUUUCGUAUGGAUUUAUGUGCAUAAAUUAAGUUUAUGAAUUUGCUGGAGACUAUGAUAUUGAGAAUUUCCUUUUAUGUGUUGUUUUUUGCUAUUCAGAAUAUUCUAGAUCUCUAUGUUCAUGAGGUGUUGAGUAAUGCAUCUGAGUAUAUUAUGCAUUCCUGAUUUGAAAAAUUUAUGCUCAAUAAGCUUGUGAUUACAUGAUAUACGUAUUUCAGUGACUUCUAACCCUUGAACUUUAUUUUAUCGUGCGAUUUUUUGAUAUUUUCGUUGCCUGUAAUUUGCGUAGGAUUUUCUAUCUGUGAUUUGGAUUUCUAGUAGUUGUUGUUCUUAAAAUUAGGAUAUAGUGUGUACUUUGAGGGUGUCUUUAUUGUCUUGCUGUUUUUAAACCUCUUAUGUUGCUUCAUAUUAUUUAUCGUACUAUCUCUUGUAUCUUGACUUGCGUGUCUGCUAUAGUAUAUUUGUGACUUGCACCACUCCUUAUUAUUUGUUUGGCUGUCCUUGGUGUCAGGCCAUUAGUGUGCUCUAUUUUUCUUACUGUUAGUUUUGUCCUUACCUUGGUUUUGUUUUUUCUCCCCAUUUGAGUUUAGUUUUGUUUCUUAAUUAUUUAUUUUAAUUUGUGUGAGCCUUGUAUUUCCUGCUGCUGCUUUGUUACUACCAUUGUUUAUAUUUUCUUGUGGUAGUGGUUGUGGGCGUUGAUGGUGGGAUAGGGUCAUGUUCGAGGGGGUUGAGGCGGGGGCUAUUAUGGGGGCGGGGGAAGAGGAAAAAGCGGGGGUGGGAGGGAGGCCAAGAUUUGGCCUCAGGGGCGGUAGAGAAAGACGUGUUGAUAGAGUUGGUAGACUGAGGGUUGGGGCUUGGAAUAUAGGGACUCUUCAGGGUAAGUCCAUAGAGCUUGUGAAGAUUCUUAGAAAGAGGAGAAUUAAUAUUGCGUUUGUUCAAGAGACUAAGUGGGUAGGGUAUAAGGCUAGGGGUGUGGAUGGUUACAAGCUUUGGUACUCUGGGACCGAGAGACGUAGGAAUAAAGUUGGCAUCUUAGUAGAUGAAGAUGUUAGAGGUCAGGUAGUAGAGGUAAAGAGGAUCAGCGAUAGGUCGAUGACUAUUAAGUUGGUCAUUGGGGGGUUUACCCUGAAUGUGUGUAGUGCUUAUGCGCCACAAGUGGGCUUGGAUGGGGAGGAGAAGAUGCUGUUUUGGGAGGCUUUAGAUAAGGUGGUGAGAGGCGUGCCUAGCUCGAAGAAGAUUGUUGUAGUAGGAGAUUUCAAUGGACACAUCGGGGCGUUACCGGGACGCUUUGGUGAUGUGCAUGGUGGUUUUGGUUUUAGGGAAAGNNNNNNNNNNNNNNNNNNNNNNNNNNNNNNNNNNNNNNNNNNNNNNNNNNNNNNNNNNNNNNNNNNNNNNNNNNNNNNNNNNNNNNNNNNNNNNNNNNNNNNNNNNNNNNNNNNNNNNNNNNNNNNNNNNNNNNNNNNNNNNNNNNNNNNNNNNNNNNNNNNNNNNNNNNNNNNNNNNNNNNNNNNNNNNNNNNNNNNNNNNNNNNNNNNNNNNNNNNNNNNNNNNNNNNNNNNNNNNNNNNNNNNNNNNNNNNNNNNNNNNNNNNNNNNNNNNNNNNNNNNNNNNNNNNNNNNNNNNNNNNNNNNNNNNNNNNNNNNNNNNNNNNNNNNNNNNNNNNNNNNNNNNNNNNNNNNNNNNNNNNNNNNNNNNNNNNNNNNNNNNNNNNNNNNNNNNNNNNNNNNNNNNNNNNNNNNNNNNNNNNNNNNNNNNNNNNNNNNNNNNNNNNNNNNNNNNNNNNNNNNNNNNNNNNNNNNNNNNNNNNNNNNNNNNNNAAGAAAUGAAGAGGGGGCUACUCUAUUGGACUUUGCGAGGUCCUUUGGGCUGGUGGUGGUGAACUCGGGCUUCUCGAAGAAGGAUGAUCACCUAAUCACCUUCUGAAGCGCGAUAGCAAAGACCCAGAUUGACUUUUUGUUGCUCAAGAAAGGGGAUAGGGUGUUGUGUAGGGACUAUAAGGUCAUCCCGAGUGAGAAUAUUUCGACCCAGCAUAGGCUCUUGGUUAUGGAUUUAGGUAUAAAAAAGGAUAGGAAGAGAAGGGGUAAGGAGUGCAGACCUAGAAUUAAGUGGGGCGGCUUAACGCCAGUGAAUGCAUGAGAAAUAGAGAAAAAGUUAGCGGGAAUGGGGGUGUGGGAGUGUAGGGGGGAUGUGGAUAGUAUGUGGGAUAGGUGGCCAGGUGCAUCAGGGAGAAUGCUAGUGAGGUGUUAGGUGUUUCUAGGGGCCGGGCUGGACAUCAUCGGGGGGAUUGGUGGUGGAAUGAAAAGGUUAAGAAGAAAGUGGAGACUAAGAAAGGGGCAUAUUCUAAGUUGGUUGAGAGUAAGGACGAAGAAGAGAAGCGGGUAAACAGGAAAGAGUACAAGUUAGCUAGGAAGGAGGCUAAGUUAGCAGUUACGGUGGCUAAGACGGCAGCAUUUAAGAGCUUGUAUAUAGGGUUACAGGAGAAAAGGGGGAAAAGUUGUUUAGACUUACUAAGGCUAGGGAGAGAAAAGGUCGUGACCUCGAUUAGGUGAAGUGCAUUAAGGAGGAGGACGGAACAGUGUUGAUGGAGGAUGGCCACAUUAAAAAUAGAUGGCAGUCGUAUUUUCAUAGGCUCUUGAAUGACGAAGGGAAUAGAGCUACUGUGUUAGGGAAGCUGGAGCACUCAGAGGAGUAUUGGGAUUUUAGUUAUUGUAGACAUUUUAAGGUAGAGGAGGUUAGAGAGGCUGUUUGCAGGAUGCGAAGGGGUAGGGCUAAGGGGCCUGAUGAGAUACCUGUGGAUUUUUAGAAGUUUUCUGGCGAGACUGGUUUAAGGUGGUUGACUGGAUUGUUUAACGGAAUUUUUAAGACGGCGAAAAUGCCCGAGGCUUGGAGGUGGAGUACUAUGAUCCCUCUUUAUAGGAACAAGGGUGACAUUCAGAGUUGCAAUAACAUAGGGGUAUUAAGUUAUUGGGUCACUCUAUGAAGAUUUGGGAGAGAGUGGUCAAGGUGAGGCUGAGACGGAUAGUGUUUAUUUUGGAGAACAAGUUUGGAUUUAUGCCUGGCCGCUCGACGACGGAGGCAAUUCACCUGGUGCGGACGCUGGUGGAAUAGUAUAGGGAAAGGAAGAAGGAUCUGCACAUGGUGUUUAUCGACUUGGAGAAGGCAUACGAUAAAGUCCCCAGGGAGGUGCUUUGGAGAUGCUUGGAGGUGAGUGAAGUCCCGGUAGAAUAUAUCAGAGCAAUUAAGGACAUGUAUGAUGGAGCUAAAACUCAAGUAAGGAUGGCGGGAGGAGACUCAGAGCAUUUCACUGUCUUGAUAGGAUUGCAUCAGGGAUCUACUCUUAGUCCCUUUUUGUUUGCUUUGGUGAUGGAUGUUUUGACACGACGUAUUCAAGGAGAGGUGCCUUGGUGUAUGCUUUUUGCAGAUGAUAUAGUUUUGAUUGAUGAGGGGUGUGUGAAUGAUAAAUUAGAGGUGUGGAAACAAACUUUUGAGUCUAAAGGGUUCAGGUUGAGUAGGAGCAAGACAGAGUAUUUGAAAUACAAGUUUAAUGACGUAAGGCUGAAGAAUGAGGUGGUAGUAAAGUUGGAAUCACAGGUGAUAUGUAAGAGGGAUAGUUUCAUGUAUCUCAGGUCCGUGAUUUAGGGUAACGGUGAGAUUGACGAGGAUGUCUCGCACCAUAUUGGGGCGGGAUGGAUGAAGUGAAAGCUUGCUUCGAGGGUGUUAUGUGAUAAAAAGGUGCCGCCCAAGCUUAAAGGCAAAUUCUAUUGGGUGGCAGUCCGUCCGGCCAUGUUGUAUGGAGUGGAGUGUUGGCCAGUUAAGAACUCCUACAUUCAAAAAAUGAAGGUGGCGGAAAUGCAGAUGUUGCGUUGGAUGUGUGGGCUGACUAGGGAGGAUAGAGUUAGGAAUGAGACUAUCAGGGAGAAGGUUGGUGUGAAUCCAGUGGAGAUUAAGAUGCGGGAAGUCCGAUUGAGAUGGUUCGGACACGUGAUGAGGAGGGGCAUGGAUGCCCCGGUUCGUAGGUGUGAGAGGCUAGCUUUGGAUAGUUUUAGGCGGGGUAGGGGUAGGCCGAAGAAGUACAAAGAAGAGGUGAUUAGGCAGGACAUGGAACAGUUACAGCUCACUGAGGACAUGACCCUAGAUAGGAAGAUCUGGAGAACGCGAAUUAGGGCAGAAGGCUAGGGUCAGUUUGGGUCGCUAGGGUAGGGAAUUACUUGGUGGGGGUAUUAUUCUUGUUAUGAUACCUUGUUUCAUGCUUUAUUAUGAAUCUGUUUACUUUUCUCUAUUUACUAUUACUUAUGGGUGUUGUAUUUAUGUUAUGCCAUCUUGUUCCCUGCUUUACUAUGAAUUUGUUUAGUAUUUCGUGUCUCAAGCCGGGGUUAUAUCGGAAACAACCUUUCUACUUAUUUAGAGGUAGAGGUAUGGACUGCAUACAUCUUACCCUUCCCAGACCUCACUAUGUGGGAAUACACUGGGUUUGUUGUUGUUGUUGUUCAUUUUCUUUUGAUAGAAUCCGAAUUCGAGAAAAGGAUUGCUUUGCUAUUUUUUGGUGACCGCUUGUCUCUUUCUCUUCAAUUUAGGCCAAGCAAAGGUAAGUUGAUUUCUCUCUAUUUUCUUAUAAUGAAGUCUUUAAAUGUAGUGUUCAGAUGGGAUUGUUUGUUGUAGAAGGAUUUGAAAGCCAUAGGAAUUUUGUGAUGAUUAUAUGGUGUGAGAGGGACAUCCGAUGCCUCUACUAAUUUGCUUUAUUAAACUUGUUGAAUUGUUUGACUUAUACUAUAAAUGAAUUAGUUACUUGAAAAUGUUUAAGUGUAGUUACUUGAAAGGUGAACUUGUGUUUUGAAUUUACUAAAGUGUGGUCACUUGAUAAGUGAAUUAGUGACUUCAAAAUGUCUAAGUGUAGGUACUUGAAAUGUGAACUUGUGUUUUGAAUUUAGUUAAGUGUGGUCACUUGAUAAGUGAAUUAGUGACUUCAAAAUGUUUAAGUGUAGAUACAUGAAAGGUGAACUUGUGUUUUAAUUUUAGUAAAAUGUAGUUACUUAAUAAGUGAAUUAGUGACUUGAAAAUGUGUAAGUGUAGUUACUUGAUACGUGAACCUGUGUUUUGAAUUUAGUGAAGUGUUGUCACUUGAUAAGUGAAUUAGUGACUUGAAAAUGUUUAAGUGUAGGUACUUGAAAGGUAAAACUGUGUUUUGAAUUUAGUUAAGUGUGGUCACUUGAUAAGUGAAUAGUGACUUGAAAAUAUUUUAAGUGUAGGUACUUGAAAGGUGAACUUGUAUUUUGAAUUUAGUAAAGUGCGGUCACUCGACAAGUGAAUUUGUGACUUGAAAAUAUUUUAAGUGUAGGUACUUGAAAGGUGAACUUGUGUUUUCAAUUAAGUGUGGUCACUUGAUAAGUGAGUUAGUGACUUGAAAAUGUUUAAGUGUAGUUACUUGAAAGGUGAACUUGUGUUUUGAAUUUAGUAAAGUGUAGUCACUUGAUGAGUGAAUUAGUGAUUUAAAAAUAUUGAACUGUAGGUACUUGAAAGGUGAACUUGUGUUUUGAAUUUAGUAAAGUGUGGUCACUUGAUGAGUGAAUUAGUGACUUGAAAAUGUUUAAAUGUAGGUACUUGAAAGGUGAACUUGUUUUUUGAAUUUAGUUAAGUGUGGUUACUUGAUAAGUGAAUUAGUGACUUCAAAUUGUUUAAGUGUAGGUACUUGAAAGGUGAACUUGUAUUUUAAUUUUAGUUAAAUGUGGUCACUUGAUAAGUGAAUUAGUGACUUGAAAAUGUUUAAGUGUAGGUAAUUGAAAGAUGAACUUGUAUUUUAAUUUUAGUUAAAUGUGGUCACUUGAUAAGUGAAUUAGGUACUUGAAAUCUGAACUUGUGUUUUGAAUUUACUAAAGUGUGGUUACUUGAUAAGUGAAUUAGUUUCUUCAAAAUGUUUGUGUAGGUACUUGAAAGGUAAACUUGUGUUUUGAUUUUAGUUAAGUAUGGGCACUUGAUAAGUGAAUUAGUGACUUGAAAAUGUUUAAGUGUAGAUACUUGAAAGGUGAACUUGUAUUUUGAAUUUAGUAAAGUGCGGUCACUUGAUAAGUGAAUUAAUAACUUGAAAAUAUUUAAGUGUAGGUACUUAAAAGGUGAACUUGUGUUUUGAAUUUACUAAAGUGUGGUUACUUGAUAAGUGAAUUAGUGACUCAAAAAUGUUUAAGUGUAGGUACUUGAAAUGUGAAUUUGUUUUUUGAAUUUAGUAAAAUGUGGUCACUUGAUAAGUCAAUUAGUGACUCGAAAAUGUUUAAGUGUAGGGACUUGAAUUAUGAACUAGUGACUUGUGUUUUGAAUUUAGGUACUUGAAAUGUGAACUUGUGUUUUGAAUUUAGUUAAGUGUGGUCACUUGAGAAGUGAAUUAGUGACUCGAAAAUGUUUAAGUGUAGUUACUUGUCCUGGUGAUGCACCACAGACUGCGAAAGGCCUAAGCCCCUAGAUGAUUAUUGCACCACAGAGGAUUCAAAUUCUAUGGCUGAGGAUGGAAAUGAGGAUAAGGAUGACGAGUAGAAGUGAGGAUAAGGAUGAUGAGUAGUAGUUUUAGUCUUUUGUAUGUUUUGUAGUUUAUUUUUGGAACGUUGAUAAAUUGUGUUUUUUAUAUUUUGAUUACUAAUGUUUGUAAUCUUAUGAUGGUUGAUUACAUAUUAAAUGUUGAUUGAUGGGCUGUAUUGUAUAGCUGGUUUGAUGGAUUCUAUGGAAUGUAGCAUAUAUAUAUAUAUAUAUAUAUAUACUAGUUUAGGUGUACGCACCUCGCGCGUGUACCUUGCUUUAUUGAGUUCAAACGUUACACUAAAUAGGAUAUUUAUUUAAAUAAUAAGGGUGAAUACAAUAAUUAAUUCAACAUCUUUUGAAGAAUUUAUUUAAUUAAACCUAACUUUAUCAAAAUAAAUUCUCAAAGUCGAUUGAUAUUCAUCUACCACCUGUAACUGCAACAGAACAACACGAUGAUAGAGACGUCAAAAUAAUAUAAUUAAAUCUAACCCUUUACACAAAUUUUCUUAAAGCCAUCUGUAAACUAUAAAAAAAUAAUACGAUGAUAGAGAUAGCAAAAUAAUAUAACUAAACUUUACCUUUACACACAAAAAAAAAAUCUCAAAACAGAGAUAUAAAAAUAAUAUAAUUAAACCUAACCUUUACCAAAAAAAAUUUCUCGAAGCCGUCUGUCAUUCAUCUAGCACCUGUAAAUUCAUCUACGACCUGUAAAACAAAAUAAUAUAAGAGUGAUCACAAAGCUUCAGUUUUUAUGAAAGUAAUUCUUGUCUGAGCGAAAAUUUUGACACUAAAGGAUAACUUGAAUGAAAACAAAGAAGAUAUAUAUAUACACACACGUUAAAUUUUUUUAUGUUAACAAAAAUAGUGAAGAAGUUGAGGGUUAAAAAAUUAAGCACCCACCAAUCUAUAUAUGCAACCGAAUCAAGUUAGAUGGACAUCAGUCAUAUUUUUUCAAUAAGUAAACCAAUUUUUUCUCUAGUUUAACGUACAUCUUAAUAUUUAUAGAAAUAUUUUCUUAAUAGAGGAGUCUAUAUAUGAGUCCUAAGGUUGUCCCAUAUAUUUCUUUUUUCUUUUCCUUUAAUAUCUUAGCAAUCAAAUUUUGGUAGUCAUAUUUCUUUUUUCUUUUACUUUUAUAUAACAACAACCAAAUUUUGGUGGAAAAUUGGGAAACGAAAAAUGAGGCGUGAUUCAUAGUUCUUUUCCUUAUAUGAAUUGUUAAUAAAUAAAAUUGUUAUCAAAUAUUAUUACUAUUUUUUUUAGUUUUGAUGGAAAUUAUGACAAUUGUUUUAAUCAUAUUUUUUAAAACUCUUUAUGAUGUAUACAAGGAAAAAGAAAACUUACCGAUAUUAUUUUCCAUAUAUUUUUCUCUAACCAUUUUUAGGACUUCUUAAUUUUAAAUAUUAUAAAUAUGGUGAUAUAUUAAUUAAAGAAAAUAAUUGAAAAGAUGAUUUUGUCUAUUGCGAAAUUUUUUAAUGAAGGGUAAAAAGUUCAAAUCACUUUUCUAAGGGUUUUCAAAUCACUUUUCUAAAAACCAACCACAUGUGGUCGCUUUUCUGAAAAAAAAUUAAAAUAUGACCACAUGUGGUCGUUUUCUGGAAACAAAUUUAUAAAAGACCACAUGUGGUCGCUUUUCUAUAAUUAAUUAACUAUUUUUUACAAAUGAUUUUACUAAAAAAAUUAUUAAAUAAAAUAAAAUAGACCACAUAUGGUCGCUUUUUAUAUAAAAUUUAUCAAUUAAUGUAUACAAAAGAGACCACAUGCGGUUGCUUUUGUUUAAUUUAAUUAAUUAAUUUAUUUACAAAAGCGACCACAUGUGAUCGAUUUUGUAAAAUUAAUUAAUUAAUAUAUAUAAAAAGCGACCACUUGUGGUCACUUUUCUUUAAAAAAAUUAUUUUAUUAAUUUUAUAAAAGCGACCACUGGUGGUCGCUUUUUUGAAUUAAAGAAAUUGAUAAUCAUUUUUAUUGAAAGAUAAUAUUGAAUUAUAGAUAUACUUUUUUUUUUUAAAAGAAGCGACCAUAUGUGGUUGCUUUUAAAAUUUCUACCACUGUCUUUGAGACCACACCUAGUGGUCGCCUUUAUGGUCGCAAAACAGAAAAAGCGACCACCUAUUGUCUCUUUUUGUAGUCGCUUUUCCUGUUUUUUCUAGUAAUGAACUAGAGACUUUUUAGUUGUUGAAUAUUUUAGGUGUGUUUCUGACUCUAAUUUUGAAUUUAUCUUUACCCACCCCUGUUUGUGAGAUUGUUUGGGUAUAAGAACUUUAAUACCUAUAACAAGUUAAAGUGAAUUUUAGACAACAAGCUCUACAAGAAAACAUGAAGCAUAGUAAUUGAAAUUGUGGUGGUUUGUCACCUGAAUUUGUUGGAUUAUAGAAUUGAUGAAUGGUAACAGAGAAACUAAAACACCCCAAAUUUUGGUCCUUGAAAAUUUCUUGACUUAUGGGCUUACUUCCCAGAUUACGACUCUCUCUACGAGUCAUAAGGUGUCAUUACGGGUCAUAAGAACCUAACUGUAGCCUGACCAGUGUGGAUUGGCUAAGUUUAUGUUAUGAUUACGAUUGGCUCCUAAUGAUUCAUAAAGACUCUACAUGAGUCGUAUAGUCCCAUCCGUAGCCAAACCAGUGUGAUGCCCAAAUGUUCUAUCUUGCCUAUGAUUUGACCAAACUAGUCGUAAUGUUUGAGUAUGAGUCAUAUGGUAUGACUCGUAGCCAAACCAGUGUGAGUGCUCAUGGAUGCUAUCCGAACUACGACUGGAGGACAUGAGUCGUAAGGUGACCUUACAAGGUAUAUAAUCGUCCGUAACGACUGGGCGAUAAUUUUUUAGUAUUUUAUUAAGGGAACUUUGGACAUUUUUUAUUUUUCCUAAAUGUGACCCACGACUUUCACACCUUAUUGGUACACCAUUUCCAUCUAUAACACACCAGAAUAACAUCUCCCUUCUCACAAAUUCUCUCAAGCAAGAGCAUUAGGAUUUUUCUCAAGGUUGAUUGUCUAGAGCUUCCAAGAACAAAUUCCCUCCAAAAUUGUUAUCCUUUCAGGCAUAUUAUUCUUUUUCAAAUCUUAUUUUGUGAAAAGUAUAAGUUUAAAUGGUAUAAUUGUUUGGAUUUGAAUGUCAGUUUUGACAUGGGUUGAGGGUUUUUGAAUGGUUGAUCCUUGAAUUAUUUUUUCAUGAUUUUUUUGAGUUGUUUAUGCAUUGAAUUAAAUAUUCUUGAACUAGUGGGGUGCAUGGGUGUGAGAAUUGGAAUGGGGGUCAAGGUAUUCCCCUAAAUUGAUGUUUUGAACUUGAAAUUGGUUUUGAAUAAUUGUUUCCCUCAACCCAAUUGUGUAAAUGGCUUUGAAUUGUGGAAUUGUUACUUGGUUUGACUUACUCACCUACACUAUUACAUUGCAUAAAUGGUUAAAUAGUGAACAUGAAUUUUGAAGGCCUUGUUGGCUAUGUUUUGAUUUAAAGAACAAAGGAGGUCGAGGCAUUCCUCCAAGUUAAUGAAAUUGUAAUGGCAAAAUCAUGAGCUUGCAAACUAAAUAGUAUGAUGAUAGCAUUGUGUUCCUUAAUGUAUUAUUCAUUAGUUAAUGAAUGGGUUACAUAAAACUUGUUUUAAUUGGGCUUAAUGGGGGUUAUGUAGCUAAGCCGUGAAGGUGUAAGUCUCGAAUGACUUAUACUAGAAACUCACAUUUGCCGACGUGAGGUUGGUCUAAAUGAUUGUGUGCAUAGUUCACACUAAUUAUACAUUUUGUAUCUAGGAUUGUCGUGGGGUCGGGGCUUUUCUUGGUCUUCUUUUACACCUCCAGUUCGUACAGCAAACACGCACUAUUGACCUUUCAACAGGGGAAGCUAAAUCCAUAUAGCCCGUGGAUUCCUGUUUAUGACGGUUGAGUUGCAAAGUCCAGAUUAAUGUUUUACUAUCAUGUUAAACCUUGUUCCCUAUCCCAACAUCUAUUAUAUAUAUGUAUGUAUGUAUGUGAACAUGUACAAUGAGUUUGAAUUGAACUUUUGAUUAACAUUACUUUAUCCUUAUCCUAAGUUACAUACUAGUGGUCACCCCACUAACCAUCUUCAAAUGCUAUAUCCCCACACGAUAUAGGAUCCGAAGGCACUUCUAAUUUUCCUGUGCAGUGAUAGAUGAUCUUAGAAUCGAUCAUUUCUUGAGAAGUGGUGAUCUUUCAUUCUCCGUUAGACUUGAUCAUUCCAUUGGUCUUUCCUCCUAUAAAUUAGAAUUGAAAACUUCAUAUUUACAUUGUCAUUGUCAUUGUCAUUGUCACGGUUGGGGGCAUGUCCCGAUGUAGGUUAUUUUCUGGUUUAGAGGCUUUUUGAAUUAUUGUGGACUGGGUAUUGGUUGUUGACAUUCUCAUAAUUUGAGUUAAUAUUUACUCUAUCUUGUUAUAUGUUUGAAAUUAAUUCGUUGGAUAGUGUAUUCUGUUUGACUAGGCAAAGGAGGUGGUUUCUGGUUUUUAGUUGAAUUGAGAUACCCAUCACAGCCUGACCCUAAUUUCGGUCGUGACAAAGUUGGUAUCAGAGCCAGGUUCAGGGUCAAUUGGGUGUCCUUAAAGCUGUGUUAAGUUGAGUCUCAUUCAUGGGUUAUAGCGCACCACAUUUAUAAGGGAGAGGCUAUGAGAUAUUUAGAAAUAUCUCCCUUUCUUAUUGUUUUAGUUUUGAGUUAUAGAGUCUAGGGUGUUAAAAUCUCCUCUAAUUCCCAUUUGUUCACAUUUUAUAUCAUGCCUCUUCAAAGGUCUGAUGCUCGCGGAACCUCUUCUGUCCCACCUGAGGAUAAUGUGGAUGGAACUCAUCUUACUUAUCGAGUUCAGACCUGAUCUAGGCUCCUAGAUCUUGAUUGUGCUACCCCACGUGUAGUUCUUUUAGUCUCUACUUGUCCUUCUUAGGCUCCUCGGACUGUGGCGAUCAUUCCUCAUCGCCCCAAGAAGACAUUUCUAAUGUUGAGUUUCAUCGAUCAAUCUAUCUAUUGACCUAGAUGGUAAUAUCUCAGUCACGUUAGUUAGGUCCUGUUAGUACUGUUGUGAGCUCUUGUGAGGUUAAUCGAGUUGGACAGUUUAUGAGGCUCAGUCCUCUAAUCUUUAUUGGAUCUAAGGUUGAGAAGGACCCUUAAGGGUUCAUAGAUGAGAUUGAGAAGAUAUUCACGGUUAUGCAUACUUUUGACUAUAAGGGCGUCGAAUUUGCCGUGUAUCAGUUGAAGGAUGUGGCAUAUUAGUGGUAUAAGGAGUGGGAUCAACCUAGAGGUGAUGAUGUAGAGUUGGCACUAUGGCAUGAGUUUUCAAAUACCUUCCUAAAUCAUUUUUUUCUCAGGAGUUAAGGGAGGACAAAAAUGGGGAUUUUGUGAAUCUGAAAUAAGGUAAGAUGUUUGUGAAAGAGUAUGCCUUGAAAUUUCAUCAUUUAACCCGUUAUGGUCCUGAGCUAGUAUCAAUCAUGAGGGAUAAGAUGAGGAAUUUUUCUUUGAGCUUGUUUCGAGACUUGGUGCUAAAGUACAAGGCCGCCUUUUUGGCCAGUGAUAUGGAUAUCUCUAGGCUUGUGGUGUAUAUGCAACAGGUUGAAGAUAAAAAUAGGAAACAAAUCAAAAUAGGGAAAAGGCAAAGUAAGAGCUCUAAGUAUUCUGGGCAGGGUGGAAGCCAGGGAAAUAAUGGUAGAGAUAGAAGGCAAUGGUCUAAGAAAAAGUAAGGAAAUUUUGGUUCUUAUUCUACGGCUAGUUCUCUAUAUCUUAAGUCAUUUGAUGAUUGCUGCUUUUAUAGAAAUAGUGGUUUUAAGUCAUAAUAAAACACCCUAGGUUUUGACCCUUGAAAAUUUCUUGAGUUUUGAGCUCACUAUUCUAGUAAUGACUCACCAAAUGAGUCGUAUGGUGUGGGUACAGGUCAGGUGACUGUAGUCGUUAGGUGUCAAGUGAAUGGUGGUUGGAGUUCUGUUAUGGUUACAACUUGGUGGUACUGGUCGUUAGGGGUGGUAACGGGUCUUUUGGUCGAUCCUUCAUCAAAUCAGAAACUUACUUGACUUGGCUCUGAGUACGAGUGGCUCACUAAGAGCUGUGAGGAUAGGUUACCAGUGGUAAGGUUGAGUCGUAUGUUAUUUAGUAUCCAAUUCUUUGGGUUCUGUCUUGGAUAUGACUAGACUGUACGAGUUAUAUGGUCAAGUCACAGGUGGUGUCAUGGAGUCAUAAGGUAGACAGUGUGUGGGUGUCCAACUUACUAUCUUUGUAAUGACUCAAUGGUACAAGUUAUAUGUUGUGGUCACGAGUCUAAGCAUCGACUCGUAACAACCUUCGAUCUUUUUACAGUUUUAAGAUGAGGGCACUUUAGAUAUUUCCCAUGUCCCUAUAAAACUUUUUGGUCAUUCACUCUACACUUUACAAAAUUAAACAUCCUCUUUACUCUCUAAAAAUCCUCUCAAGCAAAAUUGUCUAGGGUUUCUCCAAAGUGGUCAUCUAAGGGCAUAAGGAUCAAUUUCUUUUCGUAAAUCUUUGUAAUUCAGGCAUGUGACUCUUUCCUCAGUUUUAGUUUGCUAAAAUCACAUGUUUAAGGUAUUUUUCAUGAAUCAUUAAUGGUGGUUUUCAAACUUAGGUUGAGGUGUUUGAAUGCAUAUCAUUGAAUAUUGUUUCCUAUGGUUUAAAUUAUGAUUAUGCAUGUUUUUAAUUAUGGUUUGGCACAUGGGGUGCAUGGAGAUGGUGAUUUAAUUAAGGGGUCACGGUUGAGCCCUAACUUUGAUGAUUUUGUCUUUGAUAAUUGCAUGCCCUCAAACUAUUUGUGAAAUUGUCAAUGAGAAUGAUUUUUGUCACAUAGUUUGUUUUUCCUUGGAAUCUUUGCUUGACACAAAUAGUUAAACAAAUAUGAAUUGGUUUUGGUUGGUUCCAUAUUAUUUUGUAAGGGCCUUGGUGGCCAUGGUUUGAUUAUAAAUGGUUUUGGUUAAUUGGAAACGAUGGAGUCUAAUUUGGUUUAAUAGUUUAUAUGGCAUAAGGUAAAAGACUUGCAAGCUCUAAUUUUGGUAUGAUGAUACCAAUGGUUAAUGCCUAAUUAUAAGACUCCUUGGUAAAUGGUUGGGAAUGUGUAAAUGAUUUCAUAUGGGCUUAAAGGGGUUGAGAAGCAAAGUCAUAGAAGGUGGAGGGUCCCGAGGGGACCAUUACUGAAAACUCACAUUUGCUGAUGUGAGGGUGGUCUUCGUGACUAUGUGCAUGAUUUCACACUUUAUAUUUUUGGAUAUGUACUAGUCAUAUCAAGUUCUUUUUCUUUGAUCGUGUGGUUAACAUGCACUAGGGCUCUUUUAUUAGGGGUAGCUGAACCCAUCGAGCACGUGGGUGGUUUUAGGAAGGCCAAGCUACAUAACCUAAGUUAAGGAUUUAAAUACAUGUUAAACCCAGUUCCCUAUCCCAGUAUGAUAUAUGUAUGUAUACAUGUAUUUGCAUAUGGUUAUUUAAUUAGGUUUUGAAUGAUGAAAUUAUUUUACCUUUAUUCCUGAGUUACAUACUAGCGUUCACUCCGGUAACUAUCUUCGGGCGUUGUAUCCCCCUACGAUGCAGGAACCGGUCAUACUACCAUUUCUCCUGCUUAGUGAAUUGGAUUUCGGGACAGCUUUGAGUCAGAUUGAAGUGGUGAGCUUACAUACUCUGGAAGACUCCAUUUCAUGCUAUGGACAUCUUUUUAUUUUUGUUAUUUCUUUGGUUUUUGUUUUGGCUAUGGUCGGGGGCAUGUCCCAAACAAAUGUUCAUUGAUUAUUGUAAGAGGCUUUGUCAGACUACUCUAGGCAUGGGCGGUGUCAGUAUUAGUGUUAGCAUUGGUAUUGGUAUUAACAUUGAAAUUUUAAAUGGAUGGUUGAUUGGUUGUGGUUUUUGACUUUUAUAUUAAGCUUGUUUUAUCGUCUUUAGAUUAUCAUUGUUCUAUCUUGUUAUAUUUUUGUAAUUCAUGCGACAUAGGGUGUAGUAUGGUUAACAGUGGGGUAUUGAGGGUAGUCUCCGAUCCUGGGUGGACUUCAGACACCCAAUAUGACUUGGCCCUGGUUCAGGUCAUGUUAAAUUAGUAUCAGAGCCCUAGGUUCAUUUUCAAUUGGGAGUCCACAAAGCCGUAUCGAGUAGAGUCUCUUUUAAGGGUAUGUAGCAUGCCACACUCAUAAGGAAGAGGCUAUAAGUCAUUUAGGAAUCUUCCUCUUUCUUGUGUUCUAUUUUUGAGCUAUAGAAUAUAAGGUCCUGAAAUCUUCUCUAAUACCUAUUUGUUCUUUUUCCAGAUCAUGCCUCCCAGAAGAUUUAAAGUUCACAAAAAAUCCUUUGUCCCUUCUAAGGAUAAUGUUGAUGGGAACCGUCCUACUUAUGGGGUCCAAACUUGGUCGAGGGGUUCAGUUCCUGAUUUCUCUCCUGGAGUUCAACCAAUCCCUUUUAAUCCAUCUCUUGCUCCUUAGGAUAAUAUGAUGAAUGCUGAGUUUUAUCAGUAUAUUCAUAUAUUAUCUUAGUUGGUAGUUUUUCAGGCCGAGCAUGGUGCUUUUGUUACUUUAUCUUCUGAGGCCACAAGGGUUGGCCAGUUUAUGAGGUUGAGCCCUUCAAUGUUUACUAGUGUUAGGGUUGAAGAGGAUUCUUAAGGUUUUAUUGAUGAGAUAGAAAAAAUCUUUCGCAUUGUAAAUACUACUAACAUGGAGGGUUUGGAAUUUGUUGUCUACCAAUUGAAAGAUGUAGCAUACCAACGGUAUGAGGAAUAGGAAUAGUCUAGGGGUGACAAUGCUGAGUCAUCCCUGUGGGAUGAUUUCUCUAGUGCUUUUCUAGACAUCUUUUUUCCUUAGGAGUUAAGGAAGAUGAAAGAGGAAGAUUUUGUUAACCUAAAUCAAGGUGUCAGUCAAGGAGUAUACCUUGAAGUUCCAUCAGCUAUCUCAGUAUGCUCCGGAGUUGUUUUUUAGAAUAAGGGAUAGAAUGAGGAAGUUAGCUUUUGGGUUAUCCCAAGACUUAAUUUUGGAGAGUAAGGUUGCCUUAUUAAACAAGUACAUGGACAUCUCCUAAUUCGUUGUGUACAUGCAGCAGGUGGAUGAAAAGAAGAAGAAGUAGAUGGACAUUGGGUAAAGCCGGAGCAAGAAGUUUAGAUUUUCUAAGUAGGGUGGUUUCCAAUAACAGAGUAGUAGGGAUGGUGAAAAGUGGUCCAAGAAGAAGUGAGGUAGUUUUGGGUCUUACUCGACAGUUAGUGCUACCUACCUAAAGUCAUCGGGUGACAGGUGUUUUCAAGGUGGCAAUAAUUUUAGGGCACAGAAUGCCCAAUCUCAGGCCAGUGAGCCCUAAUCAGAUCCAUACUAUCCUCUCUACAGAUUUUAAGGUUGAUUGUAUUGGGGUUACUGUGAUGAAGAAAAGGAUAAGUGCUUUAACUAUGAUCGUCCUGGACUCAUGAUUAGAAAUUAUCCUAUUGGUAAGGCUACUUCUAGGGAAAACAAGGUUUUGGUUGCCUCUUCAUCAGCUCCGGCACCAAAGGGUACACCAUCUGGCUUCUACACUGGUCGGAACUGACUCUAUGCUUUCAUGACCUGUCAAGAGUCUAAGGCAUAGACUGAUGUCAUUACUGGUAUGUUUAAACUCUUUUCCUAUAAUAUGUACUAUUUACUUGAUCUGGGGUUCACUUUUUCUUAUGUGAGCCCAUUUGUGGCUGUGAAUUUUGGUUUUGGUCCCAAAUGUAUUUUGAUCCUCUUUUUGUUUCUACCAUGGUGGCUGACUCUUUGGUGUCUAGAAGAGUCUAUAAGGUUGUGUGGUAUCUGUGGGUGGAUGGGAGACUUUGGUGGAUAUGUUUGCAUUAGACAUGGUUGAUUUUGAUAUUAUAUUAGAGAUGGAUUAGUUGCACUCGUGUUAUCCUUUUCUAGACUGUCAGACUUGUAUGGUCAUCUUUAAAUUCCUAAAUGAGCCAAUUAUUGAGUGGGAGGGUAGUUCCCUAGCUCCUAAGGGGAGGUUCAUAUCAUAUCUUAGAGCUUGGAGAUUAAUCUCCAAAUGUUGUUUCUAUCAUUUGGUCCAGGAUAAAGAUUCUCACUCGGAGGGUCUUUCUUUAUAUUCCAUCUCGGUGGUAAAUGAAUUUACUUAGAUCUUCCCUGAUGACCUUCCUAAUGUUCCUUUCGAUAGGGAGAUUUGAUUUUAGGAUAGUUAUUAUUUCGGACACUCGUCCUAUUUCUAUUCCCAGUAUAGAAUGGCUUCAACUGAGUUGAAGGAGCUUAAGGAGCAACUAAAGGUUCUUUUAGACAAGGGUUUCAUCAGUUCUAGUUUGUCUGCUUGGGGUGCACCAAUUUUAUUCAUGCAUAAGAAGGAUGGUUCCCUUCGGAUGUGUAUUGAUUACAGGCAACUAAAUAAAGUGACAAUAAAGAAUAAGUAACCUCUUUCGAGGAUUGAUGAUUUGUUUGAUCAGCUUCAGGGUACUAAGUUUUUCUCAAAUAUUGAUCUUCAAUCUAGUUAUCAUCAACUAAAGAUAAGGGAGUUGGAUAUUUCUAAGACUGCUUUUCAUACCGGAUAUGUGCAUUUCGAGUUUCUAGUUUUGUCCUUUGGGUUGACCAAUGCUCCGACGGUAUUUAUGGACCUGAUGAACCGAGUUUUUCAUCAUUUUCUUAUUUAUUCAUUUUUGUGUUCAUAGAUGAAUUCUGGUAUACACUAAGAGUGAGGUGGAUUAUUCCAAUCACCUCCAUAUGGUAUUGCAAACCCUGAAGAAGAAGCAGUUGUACACUAAAUUUUCAAAAUAUGAUUUUUUGUUGAAUGUUGUCACUUUUUUGGGUCAUGUCAUUUCUAGUGAAGGGAUCAUGGUGGAUCCGCAGAAAGUUGCGGAAUUUAAAAAGUGGCCUAGACCCACGAAUCCAUUAAAUAUUUGGAGCUUUAUAGGUUUAGCUGGUUAGUAUAGGAGGUUUAUGGAAAGUUUUUUUUACUAUAGCUUCCCCAUUGACUAAGUUAACUUAGAAGAAGGUAAAGUUAUCAUGGUCUGAUGCUUGUGAGGGUAGCUUUGAAAAGCUGAAGAAUAGGCUGACUUCGACUUUAGUCUUGACUUUGACCGAAGGAAUGAAUGGCAAGGUGAUAACUUAUGCAUCUAGACAGUUGAAGGUGCAUGAGAAGAACUAUCCAACUCAUGACUUAGAAUUAUUGGUUGUGGUAUUUGCGUGGAAACUUUGGCAACACUAUUUGUAAGGCAUAUAUGUGGAUAUUUUUUCAGAUCAUAAGAGCCUGCAAUAUGUGUUUACUCAGAAAGAACUGAUCCUUAGGCAAAGGAGAUGGCUUGAGCUGCUUAAGGAUUAUGAUAUCAGUCUUCACUACCAUCCAGGUAAAGCUAACGUGGUUGCUGAUGCUCUUAGCAACUUAUCCAUGGGGUGUCUAGCUCAUUUGGAUGAGGGAAAUGAGAAUUGGUAAAAGAUGUUCACCAUUUAUAUAACCUUAGAGUUUGCCUCUUAGACUCUAAGGAUGGUGGUGUAUUUGUUCAGGAGAUAGCGAAGUCGUCCCUGGGUGCUGAGGUGAAGGAGAAGUAAGUGUUAAAUCCUAUCUUGAUGAGGAUCAAGGGUGAUAUAGGUAGGCAUAAAGCAAUGGCUUUUAAGGUUAGUGGCGAUGGUACUUUGCGGUACUAAGGGUGAUUGUAUGUUCCUAACAUAAAUAAAUUAUGAGAGAGGAUCUUGGCUGAGGCUCAUGAGUCACGUUAUGCUAUUCAUCCUGGUUCAACGAAAAUGUAUCAUGACCUUAAGGAGAUGUAUUAGUAGAAUAACAUGAAGCGUGUUAUAUCUAGUUUGAUGGCUAAGUGCACGUGUGCCAACAAGUAAUGGUUGAACACAUGAGACCUAGAGGGUUGAAUUAAGAAAUUGAGUUGCCUAUAUGGAAGUGGUAAGUGAUUAAUGCAGAUUUCAUUGCUGAUCUUCCUCGGUAUUGAAAUUUGUUUGAUUCGGUUUGCAUUAUUAUGGAUAGGAUGACAAAGUCUUCUUAUUUUUUGGUGGUGAGGACAAAUUUUUUGGCAGAGGAUUAUGCGAGUUUGUACCUCUAUAAGAUUGUGAAGUUGCAUGGGGUGCCUAUUUCUAUCAUCUUGGAUCGUGGUACACAAUUUUUAUGUCACUUUUGGCGGUCAUUCCAGAAAGGUUUAGGGAACAAGAACUAUGGUGGUUGUAUGGGCCAGCAAAAAGAACUAUUUAGACAUUAGAAGAAAUGCUUAGAGCUUGCGUGAUUGACUAUGGUGGUAGUUUAGUUGAGCAUUUUUUCUAUUAUAGAGUUUACUUAUAAUAAUAGCUACCACUCUAGCAUUGGAAUGGUUUCAUUUGAGGCCUUAUAUGGUAGGAGUUGUAGGUCUUCUAUUUAGUGGUUCGAGGUUGGUGAGGCACAGAUGUUUGGCCUGAAUUUGGUUCACUAAGCCAUGGAAAAGGUGAAGGUGAUUUGGGAUAGGCUUAAAGCUUCCCAAAGUUAUCUGAAGUCCUAUACAGAUGUGAGGUGUAGGGAGUUAGAAUUUGUGGUUGGGGAUAGAGCAUUCUUGAAGGUAUCCCCCAUGAAGGGAGUGAUGCAGUUUGGGAAGAAGGGAAAGCUUAGUCCCUGGUAUAUUGGUCUAUACUUGGUUUUGAGAAAGAUUGGCAAUGUUGCUUAUAAGUUGGAGUUUCCUUCUAGUUUAAGCUCCAUUCACUAGUGUUCCAUGUUUUUGUGUUGAGAAAGUGUGUGGGUGAUCCAUCGAAAAUUGUGCCUAUCAAGGAUAUUGGUAUUUUGGAUUCCCUAUCUUAUGAAAAGGUCCCUGUUAAAAUCCUAGAUUGGUAGGUUCGUCAAUUGCGGACCAAAGGCGUAGCUUUGAUAAAGGUUCUAUGGAGGAACCACAGGGUGGAAGAGGCUACACGGGAAUAUGAAGAGGACUUGAUGUCCAAGUAUCCAUUCAUAUUUCCCAUUUUUGAAACUCAUGCCUAAGGUAUGUGUUGAUCUUAACAUCUUUGUUUUCUAUCUUAAAGGUAGGAGUAGAUUGUGAAUUACGUAGUAAUCUAUUUUCUAUCUUAAAGGUAAGCAUAGUGAUGUCUGGGGAUUUAAUCAUGCUAGUUACUACCUUGUCCCAUCAUUCGAGGAUGAAUGAUCCAAGUGGGGGAGAAUUGAAACACCCUGGGUUUUAGCUCUUGGAAAUUUCUUAAGAUUUGAGCUCAUUGUCCUAGUAACGACUCACUAAAUGAGUCAUAUGGUAUGGGUACAGGUCUGGUGACCCUAGUCGUUGGGUGUCCAGUGAAUUGUGGUUGGGGUUCUGUUAUGACUAAAACUUGGUGGUAUGGGUCGUUAGGGUGGUGAUGUGUCAUUUGGUUGAUCCUUCAUCAAAUCUGAAACUUAGUUACUUGACUUGGCUCUGAGUACAAGUGGCCUACGAAGAGCCAUGAGGAUAGGUUACGAAUGGUAAGGUCGAGUCAUAUAUUGUCCAGUGUUUGAUCCCUUGAGUUUUGUCUUGGAUACGACUAGACCGUAUGAGUCAUAGGGUCAGGUCAUAAGUGGGGCCAUUGAGUCAUAAUAUGGAUAAUGUGUGGGUUUCCAACUCACUAUCUUGGUAACGACUCAAUAAUAUGAGUCAUAUGUUGUGAUCACGAGUCAAAGGGUAGACUCGUAACCACCUGCAAACUUUUUACAUUUUUAAUUUGGGGCCACUUUAGACAUUUCCCACUCAAUAUCAUUAAGACCCCACCUCUCCAUAACACUUUUUGGUAAUUCACUCCCCACUUUAAAAAAUUAAACAUACUCUUUACUCUCUAAAAAAUCCUCUCAAGCGAAAUUGGUUAGGGUUUCUCCAAAGUGGUCAUCAAGGGUUUAAGGACCAAUUUCUCUCUAUGAAUCUUUGUAAUUCAGGCAUGUGACUCUUCCCUCAUUGUUGGUUUAAUUAAAGCACAUAUUUAAGGCAUUGUUCAUGAAUCAUUAACGGUGAUUUUGAAACCAAGGUUGAGGGGUUUGAAUGCAUAUCAUUGAAUAUUGUUUUCUAUGGUUUAAAUUAUGAUUAUGCAUGUUUUUAAUUAUGGUUUGGCACAUGGGGAUGCAUGGGGAUGGUGAUUUAAUUGAGUGGUCAUGGCUGAGCCCCAAAUUUGAUAAUUUUGGCAUGACCUCAACCUAUUUGUCAAAUUGUCAAUGAGAAUGAUUCUUGUCACAUAGUUUGAUUUUCCUUGGAAUCUUUUCAUAGCAUAAAUGGUUAAACAAAUAUAAAUUGGUUUUGGUUGAUUUCAUAUGUUUUUGGAAGGGUCUUGGUGGCCAUGGUUUGAUUAUAAAUGGGUUUGAUUAAUUGGAAAUGAUGGAGUCUAAUUUGGUUUAAUGGUUUAUAUGGCAUAAGGUAAUACACUUUCAAGCUCUAAUUUUUGUAUGAUGAUACCAAUGGUUAAUGCCUAAUUAAGACACCCCUUGGUAAAUAGUUGGGAAUGUGUAAAUAAUUUAAUAUGGGCUUAAAGGGGAUUGAGUAGCAUAGCCGUAGAAGGUGGGGGUCUCGGGGGGACCGAUACUGGAAGCUCACAUUUGCCGAUGUGAGGGUGAUCUUGGUGAUUAUGUGCAUGAUGUCACACUUUAUAUUUUGGGAUAUGUAGUAUUCAUCUCUAUUUUUUUUCUCUGAUCAUGCUUUUAACACUCACUAAGGCCGUUUUAGUAGGGAAGCUGAACCCAUCUAGCCCAUGGGUGGUUUUAACGGAUAAACUACACAACCCAGGUUAAGGAUUUAAAUGCAUGCAAAACCUUUUUCCCUAUCCCGGCACGAUAUAUGUAUGUAUACAUGUGAUUGCAUAUGGUUAUUUAAUUUGGUUUUGAAUGAUGGCAUUAUUUUACCUUUAUCCCUGAGUUACAUGCUAACGUUCACUGUACUAAUCAUCUUCGGGCAUUGUAUCCCCACACGAUGCAAGAAUCAGCCAUACUACCAUUUUUCCUGCUCGGUGAAUUGGAUUUUGGGACAUCUUUGAGUCAGUUUGAAGUGGUGAGCUUACAUACUCUGGAAGACUCUAUUUUAUGUUAUGGAUAUUUUUUUAUUUUUGUUAUUUCUUUGGUUUUGGUUUUGUCUAUGGUCGGGGGCAUGUCUCAAUUAGAUGUUCUUUGAUUCUGUAUAGAGGCUUUGUCGAACUACUAUGGGCAUGAGUUAUGUUGGUAUUAGUGUUAGCAUUGGUAUUGGUAUUGGCAUUAGAAUUGGACAUGGAUGGUUGAUUUGUUGUGGUUUUCAUCUUUGGUAUUAAGCUUGUUUUAUUUUUUUUAGAUUAUCAUUGUUCUAUCUUGUCAUAUGUUUGGAAUUCAUCCGAUAUAGGGUGUAGGGUGGUUAUUGGUGGGGUAUUUGGGGUGGUAUCUUGUCCUGGUUAGAAUUGAGAUACCCGAUACGACUAGGCCCUAGUUCAAGUUGUGUCACACGAGUUUCCCAAUCUUUGGAUAGUUAGACCCAGUCAGCUGCGUCAUAUCCUCCUUGCAGAUUUUAUGGUCAGUCGUAUCAUGGUUUUUAUGAUAAAGGGAGAAAUAAAUAUUUCAGAUAUGGUCAGCCUGGCCAUAUUCAGAGGGAUUGUCCCUUUGACGAUGUUGCUACUGGGCCUAACAAGGUCUAGGUUGUUACUCCUUUAGCUCCUGCCCCAAGUGGCGCUACUUCUGGCUUCGACACUAGUUUAAAUUAUUUAUAUGCUCUUCCUACCUAUCAGGGUUCUGAGGCGUCUCUUGAUAUUGUUACUGGUAUGCUAAAAAAAAUUUCUCGUGAUGUGUAUUAUCUGCUAAAUCCUAGGUCUACCCUUUCCUAUUGACCCCUUAUUUGGCUAUGCAUUUUGGUUAUAUCCUGAGUGUAUUCCUAAUCCCUUUUCUGUGUCUACCUAGUGGGUGACUCUAUUAUGGCAAGGAGAGUCUACAGGGAUUGCCUGGUAUCUAUCUGUGAUAGAGAGACAUUGGUAGAUUUGAUAGAGUUAGAGAUAUUAGAUUUAAAAAUUAUCUUGGGGAUAGAUUAACUCCAUUCGUGCUAUGUUUGUCUUGAUAAUAUGACUCAAAGGGUUAUUUUUCGAUUCCUGAAUGAGCCGAUGAUUGAGUAUGAAGGGAGUUCCCUAAUGAUGAGGGGGAGUUUAGUCUCUUAUCUAAGAGAUCCAAAAUUGGUUUCAAAAGGGUAUUUGUAUCACCUGGUUUGGGUUAAACAUUCAAAUUCUUAGGGUCCUUCCUUGUCAUCUGUCCCUGUGAUCUAUGAGUUUCCCAAAGUAUUUCUCAAUGAUCUUCCAGGUGUCCCUCCUGAUAGGGAAAUUGAUUUUGGAAUUGAUCUUCUUAUGGACACUCGUCCUAUCUCUAUCUCUCUAUAUAGAUUGGUUCCACCUAUUUUGAAAGAACUCAAGAAAAAAUUAAAAGAUCUUUUGAAUAAGGAUUUUAUCUACCUUAGUUUUCUCCAUGGGGUGCGUCGGUACUCUUUGUGUAGAGAAGGAUGAGUUCCUUUAAAAUUGCAUAGAUUACCGCCAGUUGAAUAAGGUGAUAGUGAAUAAUAAGUAUCCUCUUCCUAGGAUUGAUGAUCUAUUUGACCAGCUAUAGGGUGAAAAGUAUUUUUCCCAGAUUGACCUUCGAUCGGCUUAUCAUCAGUUGAAGAUUAGGGAGGUAGAUAUCCCUAAGACUGCUUUACGAACUUUGUAUGGUCAUUUCGAAUUUUUUGUGAUUUCCUUUGAUUUGACUAAUGCACCGGUGAUAUUUAUGGAUCUCAUGAACUGGUCAUUCAGGGAGUUCUUGGAUUUGUUUGUGAUUGUGUUCAUUGAUGACAUCCAAGUUUAUUCUAAGAGAGAGACAGAUCAUGUUGAUCACCUCCGUAUAGUGUUGUAGAUCCUUAAAGAUUAGCAUUUGUAUCCUAAGUUUUCGAAGUGUGAGUUCUGAUUGAAUGAUAUUACAUUUCUAGGUCAUAUUGUUUCUUGUGAAGUGAUCAUGGUAGAUCCAAAGAAAGUUGCGGUGGUUAGGAAGCGGCCUAGACCGGCGACUUAAACAAAUAUUUGGAGCUUCUUGGGUUUAGGCAGAUAUUAUAGGAAAUUUUUAGAGGAUUUCUCUUCGAUUGUUGCUUCGUUGACUAGAUUGACUCAGAAAAAGGUAAAGUUUCUAUGGUCUGACACUUGCAAGGGUAGUUUUAAGAAUUUCAAGGAUUAGUUUACUUUUGCUAUUAUUUAUACACCAUCCGAGGGUACUGAUAGUUUUGUUGUUUAUUGUGAUAUGUCCCGUGUGGGACUGAGUUGUGUGUUAAUACGGCGGGAUAAGAUUGUGGCAUAUGUUUCUAAGUAGCUGAAGGUGCAUGAAAAGAACUAUCUGACUCAUUAUUUGGAGUUAAUAGAGAUAGUCUUCGGUUUGAUCAUUUGGUGCCAUUACCUGUAUGGGGUUUAUGUUGACAUCUUUUUAGACUACAAGAGCUUGCAGUACGUGUUCACCUAGAAGGAGUUGAGUCUCAGGAGAAAGAGAUGGGUUGAGUUGCUCAAGGAUUAUGACAUGAGUCUCCAUUAUCAUCCAGGUAAAGCUAAUGUAGUUGUUGAUGCUCUUAGCAGGUUAUCUAGGGGGAGCCUAUCUCAUGUUGAUAAGAAGAAGCGAGGGUUGAUAAAGGAUAUUCACAGUUUGGAUAAUCUUGGAGUUCAUCUUUUGGACUCUAAAAAUGGUGGUGUGAUUGUUCAGGAGGUGGGAAAGUCAUCUCUUAUUGCUGAGGUGAAAAAGAAGCAAGUCCUGAAUCCUAUCUUGAUACAGAUUAAGAACGAUGUUGGUCUGCAAAAAAGUGUGGCUUUCGAGAUUGGUGGUAAUGGUAUCUUGAAGUACCAAGGUAGGUUGUGUGUUCCUAAUAUUGAUGGGUUCAGAGAAAAAAUCUUGGUCGAGGCCCAUGAGUCGAGGUACAUAGUUCAUCUUGGCUCAAUGAAGACGUACCACAAUUUGAAGGAUGUUUAUUAAUGGAAUAACAUGAAGCGAGAUGUGAAAAAUUUAUGGCUAAGUGUAUGACGUGUCAACAAGUGAAGGUGGUGGAAGGCAAUUAAUAUGGAUUUCGUUACCGACCUUCUGCUAUCUCAGAAUUAGUUUGAUUCGAUUUGGGUCAUCAUCGAUAGGAUGACUAAGUUCGCUCACUUCUUGCCAAUGAAGACUACUUAGUCGGCAGAGGAUUAUGCUAAGCUUUUCAUUCAGGAAAUUAUCAAGCUAUAUGGUGCUCUAGUUUCCAUCAUAUCUGAUUGAGGUACUCUGUUCUUAUAUCAUUUUUGGCAUUCUUUUCAGAGAGGUUUGGGAACUAAGGUGAUCCUUAGCACCAGUUUUUCCAACCUUAAGUGGAUGGACAAUCAAAGAGGACUAUUCAAACAUUAGAGGAUAUCCUAAAGUCAUGUGUGAUCGACUUUGGGGGUAGUUGGGUUGAUCGUUUGUCUCUCAAAGUGUUUGCUUAUAAAAAUAGUUUUCACUCUAGUAUUGGGUUGGCUCUUUUCGAAGACCUUUAUUUUAAGACAUGUAGGUCUCCUAUUGAGUGGUUUAAGGUUGGUGAGAAUAGGUUAUUCGGUCUAGAUUUGGUUCACCAAGCCAUGGAAAAGGUGAAAGUGAUUUAGGAUAGACUUAAAGCCUCCCAAAGUCACAAAAAACCUAUGCGGAUAUGAGGCAUAGGGAGUUAGAAUUUAAUGUGGAUGAUUUGUGUAUUCUUGAAGGUAUCUCCAAUGAAGGGAGUAAUGCUAUUUGAAAAGAAAGAAAAGCUUAGUCCCUGGUAUGUUGGUACCUUUCAUAUUUUGAGGCAAGUGGGCCAUGUGGCCUAUGAGUUGUAGUUGCCAUCUAGAUUGGGUUUUAUCCAUCCAAUCUUCCCUGUUUUGGUGUUGAGGAAGUGUGUAGGUGAUUCUUCCUUUGUUGUUCCUCUUGAGAGAGUUUAAAAGGCCCCAGACUUUGGCCUUUGCAAAUUUCUCAAGCUUUAGGCUCUCUGCCCUACUGACGACUCACCAUACAAGUUGUAUGGUACGGUUACGGGUUAGGUGACCCUACUAGUAAGUUAAACAGUGUAUUAUUAGCCAAGUUCUAUCCUGGUUUGGAGAGACUCAUCAUGAGUUGUAUGAUCAUGUGACGAGUGGUUAGGGUCAAGUCGUAUGUUGUCCAGUGUCCAAGCCCUUGGUGUUUAGUGUUGGAUACUACUAGACCAUACGAGUCGUAUGGUCUAGUGAUAAGAGGGGCUAGGAAGUCAUAAGUUUGAUAGUGUAUGGUGUCCAAUUCUCUGUCUUGGUGACGACUCAAUGGUACGAGUCGUAAGAUGUGGUGACGACACAAUGAUUUGACUCAUAACCACCAACGAACUUUCUGCAGCUUUUAAGUUUAAGGUGUUUUGGACAUUUUCCACCCCAAGCCCUUAAGACCCCACGUCUUAUAACAUCUUUUGGUGAUCCAUUGCACACUUUACAAGAUCAAACACUCUCUAAACUCCCUCUAAAACUUCUCAAGAAAGAUUGGGCUAGGGUUUCUUCAAAGUGGUCAUCUAAGGGCUUAAGGAUCAAAAUUCUCUUCGUGAAUCUUCGUAACUUAGGCAUAUGACUCUUAGUUCAUUGUAAGUUCAAUAAAAUCAUAUGUUUAGAUCAUUGUUCAUGAGUCAUUAAUUGUGGUUUUGAAAACCACGGUUGAGGGUUUGAAUGCAUAAUGUUGAGUAUUGUUUUCUCAUGGUUGAAAUUAUGAUUUCACAUGUUUUCAUAAUGGUUUUACACAUGUGGGUAAAUGGUAACUGUGAUUUAAUAAAUGGGUCAUAUUUAACCCUAAAUUUGUUGGUUUUGGUCUUUGAUAAUGGUAUGCCCUCAACCUAUUUGUGAAAUUGUCAAUGAGAAUGAUCUUGUCACAAGCUUAAAUUAUGUUGUGAACUAAUGCUUGGCAUGAGAAUGUUAAUGAAGGAUGAAGGAUUUUUUAAAUGUUUUGAUGACCAUAAAUUGAAUUGAAUUGUGUUUUAAACUAAGACAUUGGCCUAAGAAUGUUGAUGAUUGGUAAAUGGUAUUAUGAAGGCCUUGUUGGCCAUAUAUUGAUUUUAAAUACCAAAUGGGUUUGAGUCCCUAAAAUGUUGAAUUAAAUUGAUGUCCUUAUUUAGAUAAUGGGUUUGAGUCCCAUGUUAAAUUUUUAUGGAAUAUUGUAUGCUUCUAAGUGGGCUUGGUAUGAUGAUACUAACGGUAUGACUUGGUAAGUAACCAAAUUAAUGGUUGUGUAUGUGAAAUGAAUAUUUUAAUUGGGUUUUAAAGUGGGGUUUGUAUCCGGGACAUAAAAGUGGAGUCCAAAAACCUAACAUUGGAAACCGCACUAGACGGUGUGGGUAUCUAUAUGAUAGGGAGGUUGGAGUCCCCAGAAUGAAUAUAUGAAUGGGAGGUUCGAGUCCCCAUGUUGUAUAUAUUGGUGCUUAAGACACCUUGAUUAUGCCGGGAGGUUCAAUUCCCCCAUAAAGGCAUAUAUGAAUAUGGAUAUUCUUUGGUUCGUGCGGUUACACGUACAAGGGCCCCUCCAGCUAGGGGAGAGCUAGGCACAUAUAGCCCAUGGGUGCCUUAUUUUUUGAUGGUUAUGCUACACAACCUAGGUUAAGGAUUUUCAAGUUCAUGCUAAGCCUUGUUCCCUACCCCAGCAUGUGGUAUUGUAUACAUAUAUUUAUUUCAUGUGAUAUUAUUCAUUGUAUAUUGUAUUGGUUUUGAAUUGCUAUUAUGGCAUUAUUUUUUUACUUUAUCCUUGAGUUACAUGCUAGCGCUCCAACCGCUAACCAUCUACAAAUGUUGUAUCCCAUGCAAUGUAGGCAUCGAAACUUCUUUAACUCUUCCUGCGCUGUGAUUAGGUGCUUGAGUUAGUUCGUGAGUUGACAUUGAAAUGGUGAGCUUCCAUACUUUGGAAGGUUUUAUUUUUUAGUCCUUAUUUCAUAUGUCUUAUACUUUCUUUGGCUACUAUCGGAGGCAUGUCUCGACAUUUUAUUGAUUUCAAUUUUGUAGAGACUUUGUUGGAUUACUGUGGACUUGGGUGGUCUGAUUGAUUAUUUUGGUGACAGACAGUUGUUCGGUUAUCGAUGGAUGGUAUGGACAUAUUGUGAAUUAUCAUUAGUGUUAAUAUGCGCUAUCUUAUUGUAAGGUAAGAAUUUAUCUGACAAUUGAGGGUGUUGUGUAGAUUUGGUUAGGUAAAAGGGGUGUUUUCCGGUCUACAUAGGACUUGAGAUAUUCAUCACGGCCAGGCCGUGGUUUUGGUCAUGGCAAAAGUGGUAUCAGAGCCUAGGUUCAUGGCCAAUUAGGUGUCCAUAACAUCGUGUCAAGUAGAGUCUCUUUUAUUGGUGUGUAGCAUGCCACACUUAUAAGAGAUAGUCUAUGAGACAUUUAGGAAUAUUUUCCUUUCUUGUUGUAUUACUUUGAGAUAUAGAGUUAAAGGUCUUGGAUUUCUCUCAUUCCCGUUUUCUUGCUUUUUAGAAUCAUGCCUCCCAGAUGAUCUGAAGCUCAUGGAAACUCCUUUGUUCCACUUGGGGACACUGCUGAUGGAACACACCCUAUUUAUGAGGUGCAGACCCGGUCUAGGUGACCAGUUCCCAAUUGCCCUCCUAGAGUUCCAGCAUUUCCCUCUAACCCUUCUCCAGCUCCUUAGAAUGAUAUGAUGAAUUCUGAGUUUAACCAGUUUAUUCAUAUGUUGGCUCAGUUUGUAGCUUCUUACUCUGAGCAUAAUGCUUCUGUUACUCCAUCUUUUGAGGCCACAAGGGUUGGCCAAUUCAUGAGGUUGAGUCCUUCAACUUUUACUAGUUUUAAGGUUGAGGAGGAUCCUCAAGCUUUAUUGAUGAGAUGGAGAAGAUCAUUAGGAUUUUGCAUGCUUUAGAUGUUGAAGGUGUGGAGUUUUCUUCCUACCAAUUGAAGGAUGUGGCUACCAGUAGUACAAAGAGUGGGAAUAAUCUAGGGGAUGUGAUGCUAACUCUGCACUGUGGGAUGACUUUUCUAGUACCUUUUUAGACUGCUUCUUUUCUCAGGAGCUAAAGGAGGCGAAAGUAGAGAAAUUCGUGAAUCUGAGACAAGGUAGGAUGUUGUUCAAGGAGUAUGCCUUGAAAUUCCAUCAGUUGUCCAGGUAUGCUCCUGAGUUGUUGUCUGCAUGAGAGCUAGAAUGCGUAAUUUUGUUUUUGGGCUAUCUCUUAAGGUAAUUUUGGAGAGUAAGGCUGCCUUGUUAAACAAGGAUAUGGAUAUUUCUCGGCUUGUAGUAUAUAUGCCAUAAGCUGAGAAAGAAAAGAAGAAGCAGAUAGAGGUUGGUGAGAGGUAAAGUAAGAAAUUUAGAUUUUUUUAUUAGAGUGGAGACCAGAAACAAAGUGGUAGAGAUAGGGGAAAGUGGCCUAAAAAGAAGUAGGGGUUCUAGUUCUUUCUCUACAGCUAGCACUUCUUAUCUAAAGUCAUCAGGUGAUUAUUUUUUUCAGCAUGGUGGGGGGUAGAGGGAACAAGGUGCCCAAUAUCAGUCUAGCGGGGCUUAGUGUGCUUCAUCAUAUCCUCCUUAAAGAUUUUUUCGUUAGCCGCACCAUUUCUUUUUGAGCCAAUAAGGUUCCUAUUACCUCUUCAUCAACUCCUGCACCAAGGGGUGUUGCUUCUACUUCUGAUACUGGCACUGGACAAAAUUACUUAGAUGCCCUUGUUUUUCGUCAAGACUUAGAGGCAUCUCUUAAUGUCAUUACUGGUACGUUGAGAAUCUUUUCUCGUGAUGUGUACUGUUUCCUUGAUCCGGGGUCUACUCUUUCUUAUAUGACCCUAUUUAUGGUUGUUCAUUUUGGUUUUAGUCCCGAGUGUAUUUCAGACCCUUUUUCUAUGUCUACCUCGAUGGGUGACUCUGUAGUUGCUAGAAGAUUUUAUAGGGCUUGUGUGGUAUCUAUUGGUGGUCGGUAAACAUCGGUGGAUCGAUUUAAAUUAGACAUGGUUGAUUUUUAUCUCAUAUUGAGGAUGGAUUGGCUGCACUCGUGCUAUGUUUCUUUAGACUGUCGGACCCAUAGGGUCAUAUUUAAAUUCUCUAAUAAGCCAAUUAUUGAAUGGGAGGGUGGUUCCCUAGCUUCUUAGGGUAUGUUGAUAUCAUAUCUUAAAGCUCGGAGAUUAAUCUCCAAGAGGUGUCUCUAUCAUCUUGUUUGGGUUAAAGAUUCUAACUCGGAAGGUCCUUCUUUACAUUCUGUCUUAGUGGUGAAUGAAUUUCUUAAUGAUUUCCCUGACAACCUUCCUAGAAUUGUUCCUGAUAGAGAGAUUAAUUUUAGGAUAGAUCUGGCUCCAAACACUCGUCCUAUUUCUAUUCCCCCCAUAGAAUGGCUUCGGUUGAGUUAAAGGAUCUUAAGGAGUGAUUAAAGGAUUAUUAAAAUAAGGGUUUCAUCUGUUCUAGUAUGUCUCUAUGGGGUGGAUCAGUAUUGUUCAUGCAUAAGAAGGAUGGCUUCCUUCGGAUGUGUAUUGAUUACUGGCAGCUGAAUAAGGUGACAGUAAAGAAUAAGUGCCCUCUUCUGUGAAUUGAUGAUCUCUUUUAUCAUCUUUAGGGUGCCAAAUUCUUAUCUAAGAUCAAAUUUCGGUCCGAGUAUUAUCAAUUAAGGAUUAGGGAGGUGGAUAUCCCUAAAACAGUUUUCCAUACCCUGUAUUGUCACAUUGAGUUCUUGGUAAUGUCAUUUGGCUUGAACAAUGCCCCUACGACAUUUAUGGACUUGAUGAAUAGGGUCUUCAAUCAGUUUUUAGAUUUUUUCAUGAUUGUCUUUAUCGAUGAUAUUUUGGUAUACUCUAAGAGUGAGGAGGAUCAUGUCGAUCACCUUCGCUUUGUGUUGCAGACCUUGAAAGAGUAGUAGUUGUACGCUAGAUCUCUAAAUGUGAAUUUUGGCUGAACACUGUUACAUUUUUCGGUCAUGUUAUGUCUAGUGAAUGGAUCAUGGUGAAUCCUUAAAAACUUAUUGUGGUUAAGAAGAGGCCUAGACCCAUGACUCUAACCGAUAUUCAGAGCUUCUUAGGUUUAGAUGAUUAUUAUAGGAAGUUCGUAGAAAGUUUUUCUUCUAUUGUGCCCCAUUGACCAUGUUGACUCAGAAGAAGGUAAAGUUCUUAUAGUUUGAUGCUUGCAAAGGUAGUUUUGAGAAGCUGAAAGAUAAGUUGACUUCAACUCUGGUCUUGACUCUGCCUGAAGGCACCGAGGUUUUGUUGUCUAUUAUGAUGCGUCUCGGGUUGGUUUGGGUUGUGUGUUGAUGCAGCAUGGUAAGAUGGUUGUGCAUGCCUCUAGACAGUUGAAGGUUCAUGAGAAGAACUAUCUGACUCGUGACUUGGAGUCGUUAGUCAUGGCAUUCGCAUUGAAAAUCUAACAUCACUAUCUGUAUGAGGUGUAUGAUGAUAUCUUUUCUAAUCAUAAGAGCAUGUAGUACGUGUUCACUCAGAAAUAGCUUAAUCUCAGGAAUAAGAGAUGGCUUGAGUUACUGAAGACUAUGACAUGAGUUUUCACCACCAUCUAGGUAAAGCUAAUGUAGUUGCUGAUGCUCUUAGCAGGUUAUCCAUGGGGAGUCUAGUUAAUGUGGAUAAGGAUAAGCAGGAAUUGGUAAAGGAUAUUCACCAUUUGGCUAAUCUUGGAGUUCUUCUCUUGGACUCUAAGGAUGGUGGUGUAUUUUUGCAACAGAUGGUGCAAUUAUCUCUUGGUUUUGAAAUAAAGAAGAAACAGGUAUUAGACCCUCUAUUGAUAAAAAUCAAGGAUGAUAUGGUUAAGUAGAAGGUGAUGGCUGUGAAAAUCGGUGAUGAUGGUUUCUUUAGGUACCAAGAAAGGUUAUGAGUUCCUGACGUUGAUGGGUUUUGAGGUAGGAUUUUAGCCGAGGCCAAUGAAUUAUGGUAUAUGAUUCAUCCCGGUUAAAUAAAGAUGUAUCAUGAUCUCAAGAUAUGUAUUGGUCGAAUAAUAUGAAGUGGUAUGUAGCUAACUUUGUGGCUAAGUGUAUAGUUUGUCAGCAAGUGAAGGCGAAGUGCAUGAGGCCCAGUGGGCUAAUCCAAGAGAUUGAACUAUUGAUGUGGAAAUAGGUGGUAAUUAAUAUGGAUUUUGUUACCGAUCUUCCACGAUUGUGGAAUCAAUUUGACUUUAUUUGGGUCAUCGUGGAUAGGAUAACUAAGUCGGUUCACUUCUUGCAAGUUAGGACUAAUUUUUUUGCCGAGGACUAUGCAAAGUUGUUCCUUCAGGAAGUUGUAAGAUUUGCAUGGUGUGCCUGUCUCAAUCAUUUUAGAUCGUGUUGCUUAAUUUUCAUCGAAUUUUGGGUGCACUUUUCAGCAUGGUUUGGGGACUAAGGUGAGUCUUAGUACUACUUUCCACCCGCAGUCAAAUGGGAAACCAGAAAGGACUAUUCAUACUCUGGAAGAUAUGUUAUGAGCUUGUGUAAUUGACUUUGGUGAUAGUUAGUUCGACCAUUUAUCUCUCAUUGAAUUUGCCUAUAACAAUAGUUACCAUUCUAGCAUUGGUAUGGCCCUGUUUGAGGUAUUGUAUGGUGAGAGGUGUUGAUCCCCUAUUGGGUGGUUCGAGGUUGGUGAAGUGAAAAUAUUUGGCCCGAAUUUAGUUCACCAAGCUAUGGAGAAGGUGAAGGUGAUUCGAGAAGGCUUAAGACCGCAUAAAGUUGCAAAAAGUACUAUAUAGGCAUAAGGAGAAGGGACUUGGAAUUUGAGGUUAGAGAUUGGAUAUUUUUAAAGGUAUCUCCCAUGAAGGGAGUAAUGCAGUUUGGGAAGAAGGGGAAGCUCAGUCCCCGAUAUGUUCGCCCGUACUUAGUUUUGAAAAGGUUUGGUAAUGUUGUGUAUGAGUUGGAUUUUCCCUCUAGAUGAGUUCCAUUCAUUCGCUAUUCCAUUUUUCCACGUUACAAAAGUGCAUAGGUGAUCCUUCAUUGGUUUUUCCAUUAGAGAACAUUGGUAUUUUGGAUUCUUUGUCCUAUGAGGAGGUCCCGGUUAGACUCUUGGAUUGGAAAAUUCAUCGGUUGCGAAUGAAAGACGUGGCUUUGGUGAAGGUUCUAUGGUGGAACCAAAAUUUUGAGGAAGCUACUUAGGAAACUAAGAAGGACUAAAGUCCAACUAUCCAUUCGUGUUCCCUAUUGUAGAAAUUCGUGCUUGGGGUAUGCGUGUAUUCUUAACAUCCUUGUUUUCUGACCUUAUUAAAGGAAAAAAUAUUUUUCUUGGAAUUUUGUUAUCUUAAAGGUAAGAGUAUAGGUGUUUGGGGUUUAAUUGUGAUAGUCAAUGUCCUGUCGUGACAUUCGAGGAUGAAUAAUCCUAAGUAUGGGAGACUAAAAUGCCUCGGACUUUGGCAUUUGCAUAUUUCCUGAGCUUUAGGCUCUCUGUCCUUCUUACGAUUCACCAUACAAGUCGCAUAGUAUGGUUAUGAGUUAGGUGACCCUAGAAGUAAGUUAACCAGUGUGUUAUUGGCCAAUUUCUGUUAUGGUUAUGAGACACUCAUCAUGAGUCGUAUGAUCAUGUGAUGAGUGGUUAGGGUCCAGUCAUAUAUUGUCUAGUGUCCAAGCCCUUAGUGUUUUGUGUUAGUCACGACUAGACCAUACGAUUCGUAUAGUCUAGUGAUAAGAUAGGCUAGGAAGUUGUAAGUGGAUAGUGUGUGGUGCCCGAUUCUCUAUAUUGGCGAUGACUCAAUGGUACGAGUCGUAAGAUGUGGUGAUAAUUUAAUGGCUUGACUCGAGACCACCUGUGGAUUUUUUACAGCUUUUAAGUUUAAGGUAUUCUAGACAUUUCCUACCCUAAGCCCUUAAGACCCCACAUCUUAUAACACAUUUUGGUGAUCCAUUACACACUUUACAAGAUCAAACACUCUCUAAACUCUCUCUAAAACUUCUCAAGAAAGAUUGGGCUAGGGUUUCUUCAAAGUGGUCAUCUAAGAGCUUAAGGAUCAAAAUUCUAUUCGUGAAUCUUUGUAACUCAGGCAUGUAACUCUUCCCUCAUUGUAAGUUCAAUAAAAUCAUAUGUUUAGAGUAUUGUUCAUGAGUCAUUAAUGGUGGCUUUGGAAACCAUGGUUGAGGGUUUGAAUGCAUAAUGUUGAGUAUUGUUUUCUCAUGGUUUAAAUUAUGAUUACACUUGUUUUGAUAUUGGUUCUGCACAUGUGGGUACAUGGGAAUUGUGAUUUAAUAAAUAGGUCAUGUUUAACCCUAAAUUUGUUAGUUUUUGGCUUUAAUAUUGGUAUGCCCUCAACCUGUUUGUGGAAUUGUCAAUGAGAAUGAUCUUUUCACAAGUUUAAAUUAUGUUAUGAACUAAUUUUUGGCAUGAGAAUGUUAAUGAAGGAUGAAUGGCUUUGUAAAGGUAUUGAUGACCAUAAAUUGAAUUGAAUGGUAUUUAGAACUAAGGCAUUGCCCUAAGAAUGUUGAUGAUUGGUAAAUUGUUUUAUGAAGGCCUUGUUGGCCAUAAAUUUAAUUAAAAUACCAAAUGGGUUCAAGUCCAUAGAAUGUUGAAUUGAAUUGAUGUUCUUUUUUAGCAUUGGGUUCGAGUCCCAAGUUGAUUAAUAAUAGUUAUGGCAUGUUGUAUGCUUGAAAAUGGGGCUGGUAUAAGGAUACCAACAGGAUGCCUUGGUAAGUAACUGAAUUAAUGGUUGUGUAUGUGAAAUGGAUAUUUUUAUUAGGCUUUAAAGUAAGAUGUGUAGCCAGGCCAUAAAAGAGGGGUCCAUAGGACUAACACUGGAAACCGCGCUAACUGGUGCGGGUGCCAAUAUGAUUGAGAGGUUUGAGUCCGCUGAAUGAAUAUAUGAAUGAGAGGUUCGAGUCCCCCAUAUUGUAUACAUAGGUUCUUAAGUCACCUUGAUUGUGCCGGGAGGUUCGAGCCCCUCAUAAAGGCAUAUACAGAUAUGGAUAUUCUCUGGUUCAUGUGGCUACACGCACUGGGGUUGUUACAGAUAGGGGAGAGUUGGGCCCAUAUAGCCCAUGGGUGCCUUGUUUUAUGAUGGUUAUACUACACAACCCACUUAAGGUUUUCGAAGUUCAUGCUAAGCAUUGUUCCCUACACCAACAUGUGAUAUUGUAUACAUAUUCAUAUUUUAUGUGAUAUUAUGCAUUGAAUGUUUUAUUGGUUUUGAACUAUUAUCAUAGCAUUAUUUUAUUCCUCUAUCCCUAAGUUACAUGCUAGCUCUACAACCACUAACCGUCUCCAGACGUUAUAUCCCCACACGAUAUAGGCACCAAAACUUCUUCUACUCUUUCUGCGAUGUGAUCAGGUGCUCGAGUUAGUUCAUGAGUUGACAUUAAAGUGGUGAGCUUCCAUACUUUGUAAGGCUUCAUUAUGGUCCUUAUUUCACAUGUCUUAGACAUUGUUUUCGCUACUGUCGAGGGAAUGUCUUGAUAUUUUAUUGAUUUCAAUUUGUAGAGGCUUUGUUGGAUUAUUGUGGACUUAGGUGGUUUGGUUGAUUGUUUUGGUAAUGGACAGUUGUUUGAUUAUUGGUGGAUGGUAUAGAUAUUUGUGAAUUAUAAUUAGUUUUAUUAUGUGCUAUCUUGUUAUAUGGUAAAAAUUUAUUUGACAAUUGAGGGUGUCCUGUUGAUUUGGUUAGGUAAAAGGGGUGUUCUCUAGUCCAAGUAGGACUUGAGAUACCCAUCACGGCUAGUCCCUAGUUUGGGUCAUGACAGUCAUGGUGUUUCAAAUUCUUUGUUCUAUGAUAAGUCUCGAUGGAAAUUUUGGAUAGGCAAGUCCAUCGUAUGAGGACUAAGGAUGUGACUUUGGUGAAGGUUCUAUGGAGGAACCAUAAGGUUAAAAAAGCUACUUGGGAAGGCGAAGAGAUAUAAAGUCCAAAUAUCCAUUCUUUUUUCCCGCUUUGGAUAAUUGUGCAUGAGGUAUGUGUAUUCCCUAACAUCUUUGUUUUCUAUCUUUAUUAAAGGUAUGUAUGGUUUUAAUCUGUGUUAAAUCGUGCUAAUGGACACCUUGACUCGUUAUUCAAGGAAAAAUUAUCCUAAGGAGGGGGGAGGGGGAGAAGAAUUAAACACCUUGAAGGAUUAAACACCUUGAAUUUUGGUCCUUGAAAAUUUCUUGACCUAUGGGCUUACUACCCAGAUUACAACUCUCCCUACGAAUCAUAAGGUGUUAUUAUGGGUCACACGAUCCUAAUCGUAGAUGACCAGUUUGGAUUGUCCAAGUUUUUUUGUUAUGAUUGGCUUCUAACAAGUCGUAAAAACUUUAUACGAGUAGUAUAGUCCUAUCCAUAGUCAAACCAGUGUGAUGCUCAAAUGUUCUGUCUUGCCUACGAUUUGACCAAACUAGUUGUAGUGUUUGAGUAAAACUCAUAUGGUACAAAUCAUAGCCAGACCUAUGUGGGUUCCCAUGGAUACUGCCCAGAAUACGAAUGGAGGACACGAGUCGUAAGGUCAUUCGUAACAACUAGGCGAUAAUUUUUCAGUGUUUCAUUAAGGGGACUUUGGAUAUUUCCUUUUUUCCCCAAAUAUGACCCCACAACUUUAAAACCAUAUUAGGACCCCUUUCCCAUCAAUAACACACCAGAAUAACUUCACCCUUCUCACAAAUUCUCUCAAGCAAGAGCAUUAGGGUUUUUCUUAAGGUUGAUUGUCUAGAGCUUCCAAGGACAAAUUCCCUAAAAAAAUUGGCAUAUUACUCUUACCUAAAUCUUAUUUUGUGAAAAUCAUGUGUUUAAAUGGUUUAAUUGUAUGGUUUGAAUGUGGAUUUUGACAUGGCUUCAAGGUUUUAGAAUGGUUGACCCUUGAAUUGUUUCUUAUGGUUUUUAUGAGUUGUUUAUGCAUUGAAUUAAGGUUUUUGAACUAAUGGGGUGCAUGGGUGAGGGUAUUGGAACAGAGGUCAAAGUAUUCCCCUAAAUUGAUGCUUUGAACUUGGAAUUGGUUUUGAAUAAUUGUUUCCCUCAACUCACUUAUGUAAAUGGCUUUGAAUUGUGGAAUUGUCACUUGGUUUGACUUACUCACCUACGAUGUUCCAUUACAUAAAUGAUUAAACAGUGAACAUAGUUUUUUAAGGCCUUGUUGUCUAUGUUUUGAUUUAAUUAAUAAAGGGGGUUGAGGCAUUCCCCCAAGUUAAUGAAAUUGUAUUGGCAAAAUCAUGAGCUUGCAAGCUAAACAGUAUGACAAUACCGUGGUGUGCCUUAAUGUAUGAUUCCUUGAUUAAUGAAUGGGUUACAUAAAACUUGUUUAAUUAUGCUUAAUGGGUAUUAUGUAGCUAAGCGGUGAAAGUGUGGGUCUCAAAUGACUUAUACUGGAAGCCGACGUGAGGAUUGGUAUAAAUGACUAUAUGCAUGGUUCACGCUAUUGAUACAUUUUGUAUCUAAAAUUGACUAGGGGUUGGGGCAUUUCCUGUUCUUCAUCGAUACCUCCGGUUCGUGCGGCUAACAUGCACUGGGGUUUUCUAAGAAGGAUGAGCUGAACCCAUAUAGCCCGUGGGUGCCUAUUUAUGAUGGUUGAGCCACAUAGUCCAAGUUAAUGUUUUACUAUCAUGUUAAACCUUGUUCCCUAUUGCAGCAUCUAUUAUAUAUAUGUACGGAGGUAAGUGAAAAUGUAUAGUGAGUUUGAAAUUGAAUUUUGGAUUGAAUACUUUACCUUAUCCUGAGUCACAUGUUAGUGCUCACCCUAUUAAUAGUCUUCGAACGUUGUAACCCCACGCGAUUCAGGUUUCGAAGAAACUUCUACUUUUCCUGCGCAGUGAUAAGUGUUCUCAGAGUCAUUUAUUUGUAGUGAAGUUGUGAGCUUCCAUUCUUCGGAAGACUUGAUCAUUCCAUUGGUUUUUCUUCCACAAAUUAGAAUUGAAGACUUCAUAUUUAUAUUGUCACUGUCAUUGUCAGGGUCGGGGGAAUGUCCCGACGUAGGUUGUUUUCUAGUUUAGAGGCUUUGUGGAAUACUGCGGACUGGGGUAUUGGUUGUUGACAUUCUCAGACUUUGAGUUACUAUUUACUCUAUCGUGUUAUAUAUCCAAAAUUUAUCUGCUGGCUAGUGAAUUAUGUUCUAUUUGACUAGGCAAAGGGGGUGAUCUCCAGUCCUCGGUGGACUUGAGAUACCCGUCACGGCCAGGCCUUAGUUUGGGUCAUGACACAAACGUAUAUGGAUUUGUAACUUCACACAUAAAUCGAUUAAUAAGAUCACAUCGAGUUGGGUGUCUUAGCCUAGUUAUGAGUUAGUCUUAACUGAAAGAAAUUAACAUGAGACUGAUCUAAUAUGAUUACUGAUGUUAUGAAAUGUCAUGACCCAAAAACGAGGGUCAUGAUGGCACUUGUCAUGGUGCACCUUGAUAAGUAAGCCUAUUACCCAAACUGAUACAAAAAGAGGAAAAGACAGAAAUAUUUCAAGAUAAGGCUUCUAGAACAAAGUCAAACCAUAUAAGUAAUCAUAACAAUGCUGAAAUAACUUAUCAAAAAUACCAACCAUACCCAAAACCAAGUGUCAAUAGUGUAAGAACUACUAAUACAAUCCAAGAGUCAAAUACAUCAAAAGAAUAACCACAAAGGAAUAAUAUCUGUCUCUAAAUACUAAUAAGGACAUAACUACUGUAGAAAGAUAGAGGAGAACUUCGGAUGCAUGAAUGUCUAACAACUAACUUGGAAGCUCCAACAAUCGCCCAAGUCAAUCAAGUUGAGGCACACUCGAGUGAGAACCUGCAUCAAAAGG